rnacentral:lncRNA from 1 species
CGCGGAAUACUCGGGUUAUACUUGACGAGCCAAGCAUAUACAGAUAUGGCCUCGGAACACGGAGACCGAAAGGUCGAGCGUGAAUCAUAUAGUAGAUAUGAUAAACAUAGUGAUGUUCACCAAUGAAACUACUCCAUCUCACGUGAUGAUCGGACAUGGUUUAGUUGAUUUGGAUCACGUGAUCACUUAGAGGAUUAGAGGGAUGUCUAUCUAAGUGGGAGUUCUUUAAGUAAUUUGAUUAAUUGAACUUAAAUUUAUCAUGAACUUAGUACCUGAUAGUAUCUUGCUUAUGUAUGUUUGAUUGUAGAUAGAUGGCCCGUGCUGUUGUUCCAUUGAAUUUUAAUGCGUUCCUUGAGAAGGCAAAGUUGAAAGAUGAUGGUAGCAAUUACACGGACUGGGUCCAUAACUUGAGGAUUAUCCUCAUUGCUGCACAGAAGAAUUACGUCCUGGAAGCACCGCUGGGUGCCAGGCCUGCUGGUGGAGCAACACCAGAUGUUAUGAACGUCUGGCAGAGCAAAGCUGAUGACUACUCGAUAGUUCAGUGUGCCAUGCUUUACGACUUAGAAUCGGGACUUCAACGAUGUUUUGAACGUCAUGGAGCAUAUGAGAUGUUCCAGGAGUUGAAGUUAAUAUUUCAAGCAAAUGCCCGGAUUGAGAGAUAUGAAGUCUCCAAUAAGUUCUAUAGCUGCAAGAUGGAGGAGAAUAGUUCUGUCAGUGAGCAUAUACUCAAAAUGUCUAGGUAUAAUAAUCACUUGAUUCAGAUGGGAGUUAAUCUUCUAGAUGAUUGCGUCAUUGACAUAAUUCUCCAAUCACUGCCACCAAGCUAUAAGAGCUUCGUGAUGAACUAUAAUAUGCAAGGGAUGAAUAAGACUAUUCCCGAGCUCUUCGCAAUGCUGAAAGCUGCGGAGGUAGAAAUCAAGAAGGAGCAUCAAGUGUUGAUGGUCAACAAGACCACUAGUUUCAAGAAAAAGGGCAAAGGGAAGAAGAAGGGGAACUUCAAGAAGAACAGCAAGCAAGUUGCUACUCAAGAGAAGAAACCCAAGUCUGGACCUAAGCCUGAAACUGAGUGCUUCUACUGCAAGCAGACUGGUCACUGGAAGCGAAACUGCCCCAAGUAUUUGGUGGAUAAGAAGGAUGGCAAGGUGAACACAGGUAUAUGUGAUAUACAUGUUAUUGAUGUGUACCUUACUAAUGCUCGCAGUAGCACCUGGGUAUUUGAUACUAGUUCUGUUGCUAAUAUUUGCAACUCGAAACAGGGACUGCGGAUUAAGCGAAGAUUGGCUAAGGACGAGGUGACGAUGCGCGUGGGAAACGGUUCCAAAGUCGAUGUGAUCGCGGUCGGCACGCUACCUCUACAUCUACCUUCGGGAUUAGUAUUAGACCUAAAUAAUUGUUAUUUGGUGCCAGCGUUGAGCAUGAACAUUAUAUUUGGAUCUUGUUUAAUGCGAGACAGUUAUUCAUUUAAAUCAGAGAAUAAUGGUUGUUCUAUUUAUAUGAGUAAUAUGUUUUAUGGUCAUGCACCCUUGAGGAGUGGUCUAUUCUUAUUGAAUCUCGAUAGUAGUGACACACAUAUUCAUAAUGUUGAAGCCAAAAGAUGCAGAGUUGAUAAUGAUGGUGCAACUUAUUUGUGGCACUGCCGUUUAGGUCAUAUCGGUGUAAAGCGCAUGAAGAAACUCCAUACUGAUGGACUUUUGGAACCACUUGAUUAUGAAUCACUUGGUACUUGCGAACCGUGCCUCAUGGGCAAGAUGACUAAAACACCAUUCUCCGGUACUAUGGAGAGAGCAACAGAUUUGUUGGAAAUCAUACAUACAGAUGUAUGUGGUCCGAUGAAUAUUGAGGCUCGUGGCGGAUAUCGUUAUUUUCUCACCUUCACAGAUGACUUAAGCAGAUAUGGGUAUAUCUACUUAAUGAAACAUAAGUCUGAAACAUUUGAAAAGUUCAAAGAAUUUUAGAGUGAAGUUGAAAAUCAUCGUAACAAGAAAAUAAAGUUUCUACGAUCUGAUCGUGGAGGAGAAUAUUUGAGUUAUGAGUUUGGUGUACAUUUGAAACAAUGCGGAAUAGUUUCGCAACUCACGCCACCCGGAACACCACAGCGUAAUGGUGUAUCCGAACGUUGUAAUCGUACUUUACUAGAUAUGGUGCGAUCUAUGAUGUCUCUUACUGAUUUACCGCUAUCGUUUUGGGGUUGUGCUUUAGGGACGGCCGCAUUCACGUUAAAUAGGUCACCAUCAAAAUCCGUUGAGACGACGCCUUAUGAACUAUGGUUUGGCAAGAAACCAAAGUUGUCGUUUCUGAAAGUUUGGGGCUGCGAUGCUUAUGUGAAAAAGCUUCAACCUGAUAAGCUCGAACCCAAAUCGGAGAAAUGUGUCUUCAUAGGAUAUCCAAAGGAAACUAUUGGAUACACCUUCUAUCACAGAUCCGAAGGCAAGACUUUUGUUGCUAAAUUCGAAAACUUUCUGGAGAAGGAGUUUCUCUUGAAAGAUGUGAGUGGGAGGAAAGUAAAACUUGAUGAGGUAACUGUACCUGCUCCCUUAUUGGAAAGUAGUACAUCACAGAAAACUGUUUCUGCGACACCUACACCAAUAAGUGAGGAAGCUAAUGAUAAUGAUCAUGAAACUUCAGGACAAGAUACUACUGAACCUCGUAGAUCAACCAGAGUAAGAUCCGCACCAGAGUGGUAUGGAAAUCCUGUUCUGGAAAUCAUGCUGCUAGAUCAUGAUGAACCUACGAACUAUGAAGAAGCGAUGGUGAGCCCAGAUUCCGCAAAAUGGCUUGAAGCCAUGAAAUCUGAGAUGGGAUCCAUGUAUGAGAACAAAGUAUGGACUUUGGUUGACUUGCCCGAUGAUCGGCAAGCAAUUGUGAAUAAAUGGAUUUUCAAGAAGAAGACAGACGCUGACGGUAAUAUUACUGUCUACAAAGCUCGACUUGUCACAAAAGGUUUUCGAUAAGUUCAAGGGGUUGACUACGAUGAGACUUUCUCACCCGUAGUGAUGCUUAAGUCUGUCCGAAUCAUGUUAGCAAUUGCCGCAUUUUAUGAUUAUGAAAUUUGGCAGAUGGAUGUCAAAACUGCAUUCCUGAAUGGAUUUCUGGAAGAAGAGUUGUAUAUGAUGCAACCGGAAGGUUUUGUUGAUCCAAAGGGAGCUAACAAAGUGUGCAAGCUCCAGCGAUCCAUUUAUGGACUGGUGCAAGCCUCUCGGAGUUGGAAUAAACGCUUUGAUAGUGUGAUCAAAGCAUUUGGUUUUAUACAGACUUUCGGAGAAGCAUGUAUUUACAAGAAAAUGAGUGGGAGCUCGGUAGCAUUUCUAAUAUUAUAUGUGGAUGACAUAUUACUGAUUGGAAAUGAUAUAGAAUUUCUGGAUAGCAUAAAGGGAUACUUGAAUAAGAGUUUUUCAAUGAAAGACCUCGGUGAAGCUGCUUACAUAUUAGGCAUAAAGAUCUAUAGAGAUAGAUCAAGACGCUUAAUUAGACUUUCACAAAGCACAUACCUUGACAAGAUUUUGAAGAAGUUCAAAAUGGAUCAAGCAAAGAAAGGGUUCUUGCCUGUGUUACAAGGUGUGAAGUUGAGUCAGACUCAAUGCCCGACCACUGCAGAAGAUAGAGAGAAAAUGAAAGAUGUUCCCUAUGCUUCAGCCAUAGGCUCUAUCAUGUAUGCAAUGCUGUGUACCAGACCUGAUGUGUGCCUUGCUAUAAGUUUAGCAGGGAGGUACCAAAGUAAUCCAGGAGUGGAUCACUGGACAGCGGUCAAGAACAUCCUGAAAUACCUGAAAAGGACUAAGGAUAUGUAUCUCGUAUAUGGAGGUGACAAAGAGCUCAUUGUAAACGGUUACGUUGAUGCAAGCUUUGACACUGAUCCGGACGAUUCUAAAUCGCAAACCGGAUACGUGUUUACAUUAAACGGUGGAGCUGUCAGUUGGUGCAGUUCUAAACAAAGCAUCGUGGCGGGAUCUACAUGUGAAGCGGAGUACAUAGCUUCUUCGGAAGCAGCAAACGAAGGAGUCUGGAUGAAGGAGUUCAUAUCCGAUCUAGGUGUCAUACCUAGUGCAUCGGGUCCAAUAUAAAUCUUUUGUGACAAUACUGGUGCAAUUGCCUUGGCAAAGGAAUCCAGAUUUCACAAGAGAACCAAGCACAUCAAGGGACGCUUCAAUUCCAUCCGGGAUCUAGACAAGGUGGGAGACAUAGAGAUUUGCAAGAUACAUAUGGAGCUGAAUGUAGCAGACCCGUUGACUAAGCCUCUUCCACGAGCAAAACAUGAUCAGCACCAAAGCUCCAUGGGUGUUAGAAUCAUUACUGUGUAAAUCUAGAUUAUUGACUCUAGUGCAAGUGGGAGACUGAAGGAAAUAUGCCCUAGAGGCAAUAAUAAAGUUAUUAUUUAUUUCCUUAUAUCAUGAUAAAAGUUUAUUAUUCAUGCUAGAAUUGUAUUAACCGGAAACAUAAUACAUGUGUGAAUACAUAGACAAACAGAGUGUCACUAGUAUGCCUCUACUUGACUAGCUCGUUAAUCAAAGAUGGUUAAGUUUCCUAACCAUGGACAAAGAGUUGUCAUUUGAUUAACGGGAUCACAUCAUUAGUUGAAUGAUCUGAUUGACAUGACCCAUUCCAUUAGCUUAGCACCCGAUCGUUUAGUAUGUUGCUAUUGCUUUCUUCAUGACUUAUACAUGUUCCUAUGACUAUGAGAUUAUGUAACUCCCGUGUGCCGGAGGAACACUUUUUGUGCUACCAAAUGUCACAAUGUAACUGGGUGAUUAUAAAGGUACUCUACAGGUGUCUCCAAAGGUACAUGUUGGGUUGACGUAUUUUGAGAUUAGGAUUUGUCACUCCGAUCGUCGGAGAGGUAUCUCAGGGCCUUCUUGAUAAUGCACAUCACUUAAGCCUUGCAAGCAUUGCAACUAAUGAGUUAUUUGCGGGAUGAUGUAUUACGGAACGAGUAAAGAGACUUGCCGGUAACGAGAUUGAACUAGGUAUUGGAUACCGACGAUCGAAUCUCGGGCAAGUAACAUACCGAUGACAAAGGGAACAACGUAUGUUGUUAUGCGGUCUGACCGAUAAAGAUCUUCGUAGAAUAUGUAGGAGCCAAUAUGGGCAUCCAGGUCCCGCUAUUGGUUAUUGACCGGAGACAUGUCUCGGUCAUGUCUACAUUGUUCUCGAACCCGUAGGGUCCGCACGCUUAAGGUUACGAUGACAGUUAUAUUAUGAGUUCAUGCAUUUUGAUGUACCGAAGGUUGUUCGGAGUCCCGGAUGUGAUCACGGACAUGACGAGGAGUCUCUAAAUGGUCGAGACAUAAAGAUUGAUAUAUUGGAAGCCUAUGUUUGGAUAUCGGAAGUGUUCCGGGCGAAAUCGGGAUUUUACCGGAGUACCGGGAGGUUACCGGAACCCCCCGGGAGGUACAUGGGCCUUAAUGGGCCUUAGUGGAAGAAGAGGAGAGGCAGCCAGGUUUGGGCCGCGCGCCCCUCCCCCCUAGUCCGAAUAGGACAAGGAGAGAGGGGGCCUGUGCCCCCUUCCUUCUCUCUCUCUCCAUUCCCACCUCGCGAAUCCUAUUCCAACUAGGAUUGGGGGAGAAGUCCUACUCCCGGAGGGAGUAGGACUCCUCCUGGCGCGCCCUAUGGUGGCCGGCCGGCCUCCCCCUCUUGAACCUUUAUAUACGGAGGCAGGGGCACCCCAAGAGACACAAGUUGAUCCACGUGAUCUUAUUCUUAGCCGUGUGCGGCGCCCCCUGCCACCAUAGUCCUCGAUAAUAUUGUAGCGGUGCUUAGGCGAAGCCCUGCGACAGUAGUACAUCAAGAUCGUCACCACGCUGUCGUGCUGACGGAACUCUUCCCCGACACUUUGCUGGAUCGGAGUCCGGGGAUCGUCAUCGAGCUGAACGUGUGCUAAAACUCGGAGGUGCCAUAGUUUCGGUGCUUGAUCGGUCGAGCCGUGAAGACGUACGACUACAUCAACCAAACUCGUCCAUUGUCGAUCUACAAGGGUACGUAGAUCGCACUCUUCCCUCUCGUUGCUAUGCAUCACCAUGAUCUUGCGUGUGCGUAGGAAUUUUUUUGAAAUUACUACGUUCCCCAACACCUUCGUGGAGACCAUAAAGGAGUGGCAGUCAGGGUGGUUCUACAUCACCAAGCCGCGUGACCCUACAUGGGUAGCGGCCCCCGAGUUCCGAUCUGGCUUCCCCCACACGGCUCACCUCCUGGCAAGAGAAUGGCCUAUCCUGGGGUAGUUCGGGAGAGCUGACCGGACGCCAAACAUGUAUUCAAAACAUGGUCAGCAAGAAGCUCAAACUCGUCAACGUAGUCCAGGUCAUGCUCAACCGCCGGAUCCUCUUGUGCCAACAACGGGCCUUCAACUUGUGGGAGUUCGACCCGGCACAGCACCGAACUCUGAACAGGCUCUUCGGCACAACUCACGAAGAUGCCUGGACGGUGCUGUUCAAGAGCGCUGAGGUCCCCCCUCCCACUACAGAGGAUCGUGGAUUCAGCGCGAAGUGCCAAGCCAACGCGAUAAGCUGCUUUACCUUUUAUAGGAUACUUGUUUUUCAUAGCUUGACUCCAUGCGGGAUCUAAACUCCCAUACCUUUGACAGGACUGGCAGGAGACGGCCGGACAGAUCGACUGUCCGGCUCCUUUGCCCAAAGGCCCAGCAGACGCUCUUCUGACGAAGAUGCUGACUCUGGCUCCUUAUACGGUGCCAGAAAAGACCAAGAAGGCCAAGGGAACCCGAAAGAGUUCCCGGCGCCACGCGUCAUCGGACUCACUGUCCGAGGACUCUACGGUGCAAUCCUCCCCCGAAGAUGAGAAGGCAGAAGAAGAUGCUCCCCCUCCAGACGGGGGAGACAAGAAGAGGAAGGCCGUCCCAACUGGGGAGGCCGAAGGGUCCAAGAAGGGGAGAACUCUCCUUCCGGACAGCACUACCAUCGUCGCCCAUGGCGAAGACGAGUGGCUACCCAGGGCCAAGCCCCUGGGGAAGUCAUAAUUGUUCGGAUACCAGAGUAACUCAUAGCAUUCCUUUCCCGCACUACUUCACCUAACGCCGAAAUAUGAUUAUGCAGGCCACCUCGAGCCCGUAUCGAUGUAUCAUCGGACGGCUCCCUGGGCUCGUCGGAUAUAGAUAGCGAUCCAGUUCCGACCGCCACCUACCCUCAUCCUGUGGACGACACCGAGGUUUUGUCUCAUGAGGCACCGGGUCGAGGGGAGACGGUCCCGGAGGCGCCUCAAAGCGGCCUCCCAGACUCCGGGAGCAGAGGGGACAAAGCCCCUGAGGGCUCCGAGUUCGGCCCUCAGCCGAACACCGCGUCGGAACCUCCAGUGGUUCCGGAGUCGGGCAGGCGGCCUCCUUCUAAGAGGGGCAAGACGCCUGCGCCGGUGAUCUCUGUCCAUCCAGAGGCGCCGGACAAUCUGCUGGAAGCGCUGCGAAGCACUUCCAUCGACGAGGAGCACCGCACUAUUAUGAGUGCGGUGAUCCAGAAGGUUCAGUCCGCUAAGAGCAGAUUGACUGAAGCCUGUGCCAGCCUUCUAACAGGCUUUGAGGUAAGUGUUUAAAGUAUAGGAAAAAUAUUACCGCAUAGACAGUAGCCCCUGAUGCUCUGUUCGGUGUUCACAAAGAAAAGCCGAAUAGAGGAUCAAACAAUAUCGCAGGAGUCUAAUAUAAGUAUGUCAAUAUGCAUAUGCAGGCUUCGCUGCUGGCAUCCACCGCACUGACUGCGGAGGUCGCCGUACUGAAGCAGGACCUUAAAGUGUCCCAGGACGAGCUCAGCCUUGCCAAGAGGCAGCUCGAGGAGAACAAAGGUAAGUAGUACCUAGUCUAUGGAUAUGUAUAAAAAGAAUGCGAUUGCAAAAUGACAGGAUCAUCAUGAAUUUGCCAGGGGCCACGACCGAAGUGGCGACCCUAAAGCAAGCGUUGUCCGAGGCCGAAGAUAAAGCGGCCAAGGAGCGCACCGAGCGAGAAAAGCAAGAGGCUCGGGUGGGCGAGGUGCAGCAAGAGCUCCAGGCACUCGUGACAAAGCACGAGGUGUUGGAGCUUGACUCGAGGACGCGGGAGUCUGAGCUUGCCGCGACCCUUGAGAGUGCGAAGAGUGCCAAGGCCGAAGCCCAAAAGGCCCUCCAGGAGAUCGACGCAAUGAAGAAGAUAGCGGCAGGUAAGGCAUUCUAUAUGCAAAGCGAGCAUGUAAAAGUAAAUUACCGAUUACUUGCCCGAAUUCGGAGCUCUCCAGGAGCAUUCGCAGAUUUGCCCCGCAGCGUGUCGGAUGCCUCGAAGUUUUACUAGGCCGAGGAUGGAAGCUCAACGGAGAAGUUGUUCUGGGCCCAGUAUACUGGGACCGAACACCCAGUGUCUGUGAGCGACCAGCUAAAGCAGUUGGUCGACCUGCACAAGGCGGCCAAACGUGCCAUGAAGGGCUUUAUAGUCCGGCUGUGGCCUGGCGACGCCCUUCCGAACAGCUACUUCGGCCUGGUGAGGCGGCUUGUGGAUGCAUGCCCGCGGCUGGAGGACGUCAAGCGAUCCAUCUGCCUUGAAGGUGCACGCCGGGCUUUCACCCGGGUGAAGUUGCAAUGGGUCAAGCUAGACGCCGUGAAGCUGAUCAAGGAAGGGCCGCCGGAGGGAAAGGAGCAUCACCACCCCGAGAUGUACUACGGGAGUGUUCUGGAGGGUGCCCGUCUCAUAGCGGACGAGUGCACGAAAGAUGUAAUAUUUGAGUGAAACUUGCUCGUGUGAUCCUAUAUGUAUGAAAACUUGUUCAUAUGCGCUAUGCAAUGCUUAUUUGAAUUUAAAAUAUUACCUUCUGUUUGGCUAUUUAUCAAGCUGAGAGAUGGCUAGUCCUCGGCUUCUGCCCCCGUGCCACGGGUGCUGGGGUGUUCGGGAUAAAUCUGAGCACUCUUGUUCCCAUUUUUGGGUCCUUAGAGGGAGGCGCUCAGCACAAUGAACAAUGCAACUGGACUAAUAAUGCUUUAUCACUCUCACUUAGCCAUAGAAUUCUAUAUUUUUAAAUUUUGGCGAAGCCCCUGGUAUUCGGAAGGACGAAUUCGGGGCGCGGUACACGCCUUUAAGCCGGACAGGGCCGGCCCCUCGCUCUAAGCGGCAUAAGUCUUUAGGGACUCGAAAACCUUGCCGAACAGCGACCAGUCUCUCGCCUUAUCAUGACAGUCAGUUUUAGCUUUCUCUACUGAGGUGCUCAGCCCAGCAGAACCGGGGCACAAUCGCAGUAGUUCUCCUAGCGCUACCUUAGCCGAUAGAGCGGAACGUAAGGUACCAAAACAUAGGAGCUGGGAAAACCCAACGUUUGACCAAAGACAUGAUUCGGAGCUGAUGCAUAUAAUGCUAUAAGUUCGGGGUGCUGCACUUGUGAAAGUGUUCGGACUUUUCACACCAUAUUGUGGGGUAUGUAAGCCCCUGGUGUAUUGGUCGUACCAAAGUGUAUGGUUGCAAGGCGUCAUUAAUGAACACAUAUAUAUAUAAUAUGAAUGCAAUAAUAGUCGUAAUGUUAUGCAUUGUUUAUUCAAAAAGGUGUGUUAAAGCAGAAUGAUACAGAUAGUGCGAUAAGCAAAGAGUAGGACUAUGUCCCUUCCAAGGGCAAGCUGAGGAAUAGUAUUAAAUCAAACAUUUCGCUCGUUACUGUAAUCCACCUGGGAAUUCCAUGGUGUGAUGUAGCUUUCUGCCUCCUUGGUUGCUGCAUCAUGUGCUCGGCAAUAGUGCUACCGGACAGGGUUUCCAAAGAUUAAUGUCCUGAAAAAGAGAAAAAUAACUAAGCGGGAAGCCCCUAGUGCGGUUUAAGCCGCGUCUUGGGGCGUGCCGCAGUUGUGCCCCCCUCCCCGCAUGUGCCCAUGGUAUUUUUAAUGCGUAAUUAUGUACCCGUGGCACGAGUUUCGCCGCUUGGCUGGGACUGGGGUGGGGGCCACAUUGCUACGCGAGCUCAGAUCGCGCCAGACGGUCUAGUUGUCGAUUGCUCCGAGCGCGCUUGAAGGUGUCCGGGUCUUGAAACACCGAACUGGUGGAUUGCCUUGAGAGGCUGCUUUGCGCUUCUGCUGCGAGGGCCGCGGUGUGCUCCUCCGUUUGGAGAGAGCGUUCUGUGUUUCCAUUGACUGUAAUAACCCCACGAGGUCCUGGCAUCUUGAGCUUGAGGUAUGCAUAAUGCGGUACCGCAUUGAAUCUCACAAAUGCGGUUCUCCCGAGCAGUGCAUGAUAACCACUGCGGAACGGGACUAUAUCGAAGAUUACUUCUUUGCUUCGGAAGUUAUCCGGGGAUCCGAAGACCACUUCCAGUGUAAUUGAGCCUGUGCAAUGGGCCUGUACACCUGGAAUGACGCCUUUAAAGGUCGUUUUUGUGGGUUUGAUCCUUGAGGGAUCGAUACUCAUUUUGCGCACUGUGUCCUGAUAAAGCAGGUUCAGACUGCCGCCGCCAUCCAUAAGGACUCGAGUGAGGUGAAAUCCGUCAAUGAUUGGGUCUAGAUCCAGUGCGGCGAAUCCGCCAUGACGGAUACUAGUGGGGUGGUCCCUGCGAUCGAAAGUGAUCGGAUAGGAGGACCAUGGGUUGAACUUUGGGGUGACUGGCUCCAACGCAUAUACGUCCCUAAGCGCACGCUUCCGCUCCUUGUUGGGGAUGUGGGUUGCGUAUAUCAUGUUCACUGUCUACACUUGUGGGGGAAACCUCUUCUGUCCUUUGGUGUGUGGCUGCCAGGGCUCCUCCUCGUCAUGGCUAUGUGACCCCUUAUCCUUGUUUUCGACAAUUAACUUGCCAGCCUGCUUGAACACCCAACAAUCCCUGUUGGUGUGAUUGGCUGGCUUGUCUGGGGUGCCGUGUAUUUGACACGAGCGAUCGAGUAUGCGGUCCAAACUAGACGGGCCCGGCGUACUUUGUUUAAAUGGAUUUUUCCGCUGACCGGGUUUACAGCCUUUGAAUCCGGCAUUGACUGUUGUAUCCUCAGUAUUAUCGUUGUUAAUGUGGUGCUUAUGUUUGUUGCGAUGGGACCUGCUAUUUCCGCCCUUGGUAUUCGAGGUACCAUGGUUCUUUGACAUAUUGUUACUGCGAGCCAGCCAGCUGUCUUCUCCCGCACAAAAGCGGGUCAUGAGUGUCGUGAGGGCUGCCAUAGAUUUCGGCUUUUCCUGACCAAGGUGCCGGGCUAGCCACUCGUCGCGGAUGUUAUGUUUGAAAGCCGCUAGGGCCUCUACAUCCGGACAGUCGACGAUUUGAUUUUUCUUUGUUAGGAACCGAGUCCAAAAUUGUCUGGCCGAUUCUUCUGGCUGCUGAAUUAUGUGGCUCAAGUCAUCGGCAUCUGGUCGUCGCACAUAAGUUCCCUGAAAGUUGUCGAGGAAUGCGGCCUCCAGAUCUUCCCAACAGCUGAUGGACUCUGCUGGCAAGCUGUUAAGCCAAUGCCGCGCUAGUCCUUUGAGCUUUAGUGGGAGAUAUUUGAUGGCAUGUAAGUCAUCACCGCGGGCCAUGUGGAUGUGGAGGAGGAAAAUCCUCGAUCCAUACCGCAGGAUCUGUUGUGCCGUUGUAUGAUUCAAUAUUUUCAGGUUUGAAACCUUCUGGGAUUUGAUGAUCCAUUACUUAGUCUGUGAAGCAUAAGGGGUGUGCGGCGCCUCUGUAUUGGGCUAUAUUGCGACGCAGCUCAAAUGGGUCUUGCCCGCUGUGUUCGGCCCGGCCGGAUUUAAUUUUACUGUAUCCGGCGUGACGUUUAUCGUCUCGCAUAGUGGUGCGCCCUCGUGAUCCGUACAUUGAUCUUGCAUGUUUUGCUUUGUCCUCCAAUACGUCUCGCAGGUCUGGCGUGUUUCCCCAUGCUUUUUUAUUUGAAUGGCGUCGGGGUGCGGGCUGAGCUUUUGGCUGGAAUGCCUCUCUAUCAUGGCCACGAGGUGGCCGAUCAGCCGCAUCAUAUGCUUCUUCCUCCAGUCGAGGUAGCAGCCUGCAUUUUGGGUAACUCUUGGAGGGGCGCUCGAGUUUAUAUUCCUCGGCCGCGAGGACUUCAGUCCAUCUAUCAGCUAGCAGAUCUUGAUCAGCCUGAAGCUGCUGCUGCUUUUUCUUAAGGCUAUUUGCCGUGGCCAUAAGCCGGUGCUUGAAGCGCUCUUGUUCGACGGGAUCCUCUGGCACGGCAAAUUCGUCAUCGCUGAGGCUUGCCUCGUCUUCGGAGGGGGGCAUGGAAUUAUCAUCCUCUGCCUCUCCGUCUGCCGCUCUCUCGGGAGGGCUAACUCCUCCAUCCUCCUGCUCUAAAUCUUGCUGGAGGGGGUUGUUGUUGUCCUCGGCACUAUCUGGAGUGUUAUUACCUCCUAUGCCGGUAUCACCACUUUUGCUUUGGCGGGACUUAGAGCGGCGCCGCUGACGUCGACGCUUGGGUUGCUUCUUGGAGGGGUCAUCCUCCACUGUCUCGUUGCCAUUUCCUUCUUUGGGUGUAUCCACCAUGUAUAUAUCGUAUGAUGAGGUGGAUGUCCAGUGCCCUGUGGGCAGUGGUUCCUCUUCGUCUCCCGCAUCGUCGUCCAUACCGUCGAUGUCUUCGGAGUCGAAGUCGAGCAUGUCGGUUAAGUCAUCGAUAGUUGCUACUAAGUGGGUGGUGGGUGGGCAGCGAAUUUCUUCGUCGUCCGCAUCCCAGUCCUGCCGGACGUAGUUCGGCCAGGACUCUCCUGACAAGGAGAGAGACCUUAAUGAGUUCAGUAUGUCGCCAAAGGGCGAGUGCUGAAAGAUAUCUGUGGAGGUAAACUCCAUGAUCGGCGCCCAAUCAGAUUCGAUAGGAACGGGCGCAGGCGGUUCAGAGUCCAUGGUCGGAGAAGAAUUCGGCAGUUUAACAACACGGCUCUCGGGCAAGUUAAGGUCGAUGUUCGGCUCGAUCGCCACUGAGGGUGAUGCCUCUGUGGUGGGGUCCAUCCACCCGUCCAUGGACGGCGCAACUGGCUCCGAAUUGAGGGUCGGAGCGGCUGCCUGUGCGAUCUCCUGAACACUGUCCGAUGGUAGAGCUAAAUCAUGCUCAUCAUGACCGCGUGACGCACAAGGCAGAGUCUCGAAUCCGUUGAAGAUCAGGUCUCCACAGAUGUUGGCGUGUAGUUUAAGCUUUCAAACCUGACCUGGUGGCCAGGGGCGUAACUUUCAAUCUGCUCCAGAUGGCCAAGCGAAUUGGCCCGCAGUGCAAUGCCGCCAAACAUGAAGAUCUAUCCGGGGAGAAAAGUCUCACCCUGGACUGCAUCGCUAUCGAUGAUAGCAGGAGCCAUCAAGCCUAAUGGCGACGACACAGAGGAACUCUCAAUGAAAGCACCAAUGUCGGUGUCAAAACCGGCGGAUCUCGGGUAGGGGUCCCAAACUGUGCGUCUAAGGAGGAUGGUAACAGGAGGCAGGGGACACAAUGUUUUACCCAGGUUCGGGCCCUCUUGAUGGAGGUAAAACCCUACGUCCUGCUUGAUUAAUAUUAAUGAUAUGGGUAGUACAAGAGUAGAUCUACCACGAGAUCAGAGAGGCUAAACCCUAAAAGCUAGCCUAUGGUAUGAUUGUAUGUUGUCCUACGGACUAAACCCUCCGGUUUAUAUAGACACCAGAGGGAGCUAGGGUUACACAAGGUCGGUUACAAAGGAGGAGAUAUACAUAUCCGUACUGCCUAGCUUGUCUUCCACGCCAAGUAGAGUCCCAUCCGGACAUGGGACGAGGUCUUCAAUCUUGUAUUUUCAUAGUCCAACAGUCCGGCCAAUGGAUAUAGUCCGGCUGUCCGGAGACCCCCUAAUCCAGGACUCCCACAACCACCAUGAGGCCAAGAAGACCGGAGAGAAGAUCUAAGCGACGGGAGCAGCAACACCUAGGCCGAGCGGGAGGGAACCACCUCCACCGCCGUCGUGCGGGAGGCUCGCGCCUCCGGCACCAUCGCGGUAGCCGUCCAGACAUGGCAGCGGGGCAUACCAGGCCACCCCUUGCCCGGCCAGGCCCGAAAUGGGCCCGCUAAGCCCCGCCGGCCAUGCUGCAGCAGGCUGGCGUCGAUGCCACCAGGCCCCGCCGAUCAUUGCCGCUCACCACCGCUUCCUGAUGGCCACGCCAACACCACACCUGUCGCCGGCCCGCCUAGUCCUAGAUGGGGCCCGAAGGGCCUAGAUCUGGGUCGGGCGGGCGCCGCCAGCCCGCGCAGCCCCGCCGCCAACGGCGCCGCCGCUGCACAGGACCGCCGCCGCCUGAAGACACCGCCCGGAGCGCUCCGUCCCGCGCAGGAGAAACCCUAGACGGGUAAGGGCCGGGGGCUGCCGCCGCCAACGUCGCCCGGGCUAGGCCCGCGGCGGGCCCGGCAACAGCGGCAGGGAGGAGGAGAGAGGGGGAGGGAUCGCGGGGAAGGAGCGGAGGCGCGGUUGCGGUCGAGAGGGGAGCGGAGGAGGAUUUAGUCCUCUAUCUUUUCCCUAAAUUCGCCAUUGCAUGCACAUGUGGCUAUAUGGGGACAAUUCUUUUCCCUUUAGCUAGGGUUUUCUGUCCUCCCGGAGGCGAUCCACGCCGCCGUCGAGAAGUUUGCUUCCCUCCCGCCGAUCUAACCAGGACUCGACCUUGGAGCGAUCAAGGGGCGAUCAUUCGGAUCACCGCCCGCUCCUGGUCCGGCUUCCUGGCUUCGACGGGGUGCUAGGGUUUUCCACCAAAUGCCCGAUCUAUCUUUUUUCGGGUUAGUGCUCUCCAUGGAUUCGACCGGGGCCUCAGGGUCAUCUUCGGUUAGUGAUGUUGAAGCAUUAAUGAAGGAGUUGGGGUUGCACGACGAGGACCUGGAUGACAUUGUGUUCGAUGAGAAGGAUGCGCCAAAGGAGGCGGUGAGCUGGGUUUCCCUAGCGAGGUUAAAUACCAACAAAACCUACAGCAGGACGUGGUUCUAUCGCAACAUGAGAGCCUCUUGGGACAUUGCACAAGAAUCAAAGUUCAGACCAUUAGAGGAUAAUUUGUAUACUGUGCAAUUUUCAUGCUUAGGGGAUUGGGUGAGGGUCAUGCAAGAUGGACCUUGGAAUUUCAGAGGUGAUGCAGUGAUCUUAGUGCCAUAUGAUGGAGUCACCAAGACGUUCCUGACCAAGCUGGACUAUGUUGACAUCUGGGCUCAGAUACAUGAUGUGCUGGACCUUUAUGCGCAUCUAGUCGGUCCACUUGCAUCAAAGGUGGGAGAGGUUUUGCAUGUUGAGCAGCCAUCACAGGAUUUCACGGGAAAUUUUUACCGUGUCUGGGUUCAAAUCAAGGUUGACAAACCUCUGAAGAAUGCAAUGUCGAUGAUCAGAGAUGGCAAACGCCAAAUCUACAGAGUUAAGUACGAGAGGUUUCCGGACUGGUGCGCCGUCUGUGGAAUGCUGGGACACUUGUUCAAGGAACAUGGCAACGGCAUACACCCUCCCUCGGUGCUGGUGUUUAAAGAUCUGAGAGCUAAUUGGUACAUGCGAUCUGGGAAGGGUCCUAGAGAAGGAAGAGGUCGCAGGGGUGGACGCUGCGGUGGCCGGUCUGGUGGUCGCGCGAGGACUUAUGAGAGGAACAAUGAGUAUGAUGCUAAUGACUCCACAGAGAAGGAUGAUGAGGCAGAGGAAGAACAUGAGGAUACAGCUAUGGAAGAGAACAACAGGAAGAGGUCAAUAGUGACAGAGAAUGCAGCUAAGGGGACCAACGGAGGCAUGGAAGGAGGGGCGACAAUUUCAGAUGCUAACAAGUUGGCGAUCAUACCACAUAGCUUUGCUCCUUUGAGCCCUCCCCGAAGAGGGACCCGAAGUGCAACUGAAAGUUCUAGUGAUCGACUAGAGCGGGGGUGAAUAGGCGAUUUUUAAGAAAGUCUUCAAAACAUGGAUGUUUCGAAGACAAACGAUAGAAGUAAACCUAUUACCACGCAGCGGAAGGUAGACUACACUAGGCAACCUUAGUCAAGUAACCAAAGAAGUGAAAGCACAAUGACUAAUGGCAGCUAGGCAGUAAGGAUCAGGUAGGAAGAUAUUGUGAAGCCAAUCAGAACAAGCAGUCACUCAGUGAAGACAAAAGAUAAUGCAAUCUUGCAAUGACUUCACAAGGACCAACAGUGAGUAAAGGGGAGGGAAGGAUGAAACCAGUGACUCGUUGAAGACAAUGAUUUGUUGGACCAGUUCCAGUUGAUGUGACAACUGUACGUCUGGUUAGGGCGGCUAGGUAUUUAAACCUGAGGACACACAGUCCCGGACGGACACACAGUCCCGGACGGACACCCAGUCCUGAACACGCAGCUCAGAACCCUUAGUCCUCACCGUAUUCCUCUUGAGCUAAGGUCACGCAGACCUCGCCCAAUCACCAUGGUAAGUCUUCAAGGUAGACUCCCAAACCUUCACAGACUUCGUUCAGGGUGAUCCACAAUGACUCUUGGAUGCUCAGAACGCGAUGCCUAACUGGCUGGAGGAUUCACAGUCCUCAAGUGUAAUAAGUCUUCAGAUCACACAGACAGGACGACUUAAGUGAUGCCUAACACUCUUUGGCUCUGGGUGGUUAGGACUUUAUCCUCGCAAGGAAUUCUCUCUCAAAGGCUUCGAGGUGGGUUGCUCUCAAACGACAACAGUCGUACUUUAACUCUAAGCAGCCAUCCGUUUAUGGUUGUAGGGGGUGGGCUAUUUAUAGCCACUAGGCAACCCGACCUAAUUUGUCCGAAAUGACCCUGGGUCACUAAGGAACUGACACGUGUUCCAACGGUCAGAUUUCAAACACACACGGCAACUUUACUUGGGCUACAAGCAAAGCUGACUUGUCCAACUCUGGACAAGAUUCGCUCUCAUAGUCUUCACUCGAAGACAUAGGAUUUUGGUUAAGCAUCACUUCAGUCAUUCUGACUGGUUCUCUUGGACCACACUUAACAGUACGGUGGUUCCUAUGACUCAACAAAGAAGAAAAAGAACUACGGAAGAUCUAAGUCUUCGUGCUCCAUAGUCUUCAUGCGAUGUCUUCUCUUGUCAUAGUCUUCAAUGUGAAUGUCUUCACAUACCACCUUUGACUUCAAUGUCUUCAUACAUUUUUAGGGGUCAUCUCUGGUAGGAAAACCGAAUCAAUGAGGGACUUCUACCUGUGUUAUCCUGCAAUUCUCACAAACACAUUAGUCCCUCAACUAGGUUUGUCGCCAAUACUCCAAAACCAACUAGGGGUGGCACUAGAUGCACUUACAAUCUCCCCCUUUUUGGUGAUUGAUGACAAACUAGUUGAAGUUUUCAAUGGGGAAUAUAAUAUGUGAAAUUGUAAAGGAUAGGGAAUUGUCUUCAUAAGUUGCAAGGACUCCCCCUGAAGAUGUGCAUAUAAGUAAUUUUCUUUUGGAAUGCAAAUGCACAUGGCAGGUUGUACUUGUGGAGAUCCUCUUCAACUUAUGAUGACAAUUCAUCAUGCAUGAAAAGUAUGUGAAGAUAAUGACAUGCAUAAUGAAAAAUGGACGUCUGCAAAAUGAUCUAAGUGCGGAAUUUAUCGUCGCACAUGCGGAAUUUAUCAUCGCAUCACAAAAUAGCAAAUAAGUAGCAGACGACCAUCGAGUUUAAGUGUUACAACUCAAAGAACCAAAUGUAUCAAAACGAGAGUUGUAAACACUAGGCAAAACAUAAAGUAACCGCCCAUAUGGACCCGCUUGAAGACUAUCAAACUCAUAUGCCUCUCCCCCUUUUGUCAGUGAGGACCAAAAAGGUUUGAAGACAUAGAGCAUCUACUCGUUCCCAUGAAGAGUAGGUGAAGCAGCAAGGUCGUCGGUGGUGUGCGGCGGUGCAGAAGAACUUGGAGCAGUGUCGAUGCAUGCAGAAGUAGGGGGCGGUGAAGUGGCAUCAUCUUCGUCCUCGAUCACUCUGGCAUUCACAGUUGCCGCAGAGGAAGAGAACUCAGAGUCUUCAAGAGAUGGAGUUCGUCGCAGCACAGUCCUUCGGGGAGGUGUGGAGUCAAACUUGAAACGUUCAGAGAAGCCAUCCUCUUGAAGAUCAUCCUCAGAACACAUAAGCGUCAGCCCUUUCCAUGUACGCCGACAGGUUUCAUGGGCAACAAAGGCAUUCUUGCUGGCUAGAUUGCGAAUGCGGUUGACAUCCACCAAGAGGCUUUGCAUUUGGCGCUUCAGCCAGUCAUGAUGCCUAUCUUGUUUCUGAUGAAGAGCAACCAGAAGCUCUCGGUCAUUGAGAACACGAGAUUGCUUCUUGGGCCGUUGGGCAAUAGUGCUUUCAGUGGCUUAAGUGAGGGCACGAUGAGGUGCACGUGUAGUACCAGCCAGAGGAUAAACACGUGUGACUGCUUCAACUCCUUCAAUGUUUUGAGAGAAACUUUGAUGCUCCGCAUUCUGAAGACUAAGAGGCUCCUUGGCAGGCUCUGGAUAGAUGGCUUCAACGGACAUAUCCACGUCAGGCAGAAAGAUCUGAUGAUUGCGAGCAGAGGGCUGAUAUGAGAUAGCUGAGUGGAGUUUAAUCAGCCGCAUUAUCCAUGGAGCAUAGAACUUCAAGCCAAAAAGAUCAGAUCCUGAUGCAGCAAGUUGGUGGAUGAAGAAGUCUUGUGCGUUGAGGCAUUUUCCGUGAAGAAUAUAGAAGACCAAAGUCUUCAUUGCACCUUCCAGCUUUGCAUGUGGAGAAUGUCCUUUGAUGGGCCAGAGAGUUCGCCUUAUAAUGUGAUAGAUAGUCCGUGGCAGAUACUCAAGGUCUUCAACAAAGAACUCCUUAGGAUAGGCAGCAUCUGGAGUCAAAGGCUUCAUCAUACUGAGCAUCUGACUCAUGUUUGGUUCAGGCUUCUGUAAGAUGCUCUCCAUAGCUUCACUAUGAAGCUGACAGCCAGGUUCAUAGAGAUCUCCAGGAGUGGGCAGACCAGUGAGCUCAAUGAUAUCAAAGGCUUUGGCUUCAUGAUGAACAUUUCCUGUCAUCCACACAAGGACCCAGGUCUUCGGAUCUCUGUUGUAUCCACGUAUGUGAAGAGUGACAUAAAAUUGGAGCAACAACUCUUCGUUCCAGUGCUCUUGGUCGGUGACGAAAGGCAACAAUCCAACCUCUUUGAAGCAAUCCAGAGCUUCUUCUAAGUAGAGCAGACCAGCUAUUGCUUCGGUGUCAAGACGCAUGUGUGGGAAGAUGCGACCUUGAUUGUACAAAAUGCAUGAGUAAUAGCUUCGCUGCGGAUAGCUCCAGAACCGAUCAGAAGAUAUUCGUUCCCUUGAGUAGGGGUUCUUGGAGCUAUUGAAGAAGGUGUUGUCUGCUUUGAAGCCGUUGACAUUAAAGGAUCCAGGUGCUGAUGCAGGACCUGGAAACCUGGGCAACCUUGGCAUUGGCUUCUGUACCUGAGGCCCAUGCUCAAUAUGAUAGUCAAACUGAGAACCAGCAGCAGGUGCAGGAAUAGGAGCAGUAGCAUCAUUGGCUUCGCUGACUUCUGGUUCAUGGGUUGGUGUAGGCUCCACAUUUGCUUCAGCCAUGACAACGUUAGUGGCUUCAUUCGUGUUGGUGGUGGCAGCCUCAAGAUUUUCUACCUCCACGUGAUGAGCUGGAGGGUCGGGCACAGACACGUUUUCCUCGAGAACAGCUUCUUCAGUAGUUGGGGGAGUAGGGACACGUUCUUCUUCUUGGGUGUCAUCGGCUGAUGCAGCCGGAAUGUCUUCAGCAGCUUGAGCCUCAGACUCAGAGACUUGAGACCUUGGUCCUUUGCGAAGCGUGCGUAACGCUGGCGACGCCUUUGGAGAUGGAGUUGGCUGGGCCUCAAGGUCAUCUUCUUCUUGUUGUUGUGGGUGAUCAGCCCAUGAUGCAUCCUGAGCAAUUGGCGUCAGAGGACGACCAAUGCUGAUGAGUUCGUUGUGCGUAAGCACAGGCGAUGAUACCUAUUGGUGCUCGACCAGAGGAAGAACUACAUCAUCGUCAACAUUGUCAUGGUGACCAAUGUCUUCAGCAGCGGUGGGAUCAGCUGCUGGAAUGUCUUCAGCUUCAUGAGCCUCUAUGGAAGCAGGCUCAUGGACAGUCAGUUGGCGCUCUUGAUGUUCAGCAGCAGGGCGAACCAUGGAGAUAGGUUCAACAACUAAGGGCUCUGUGGGAGCAGCCCGAUCCUUCUUGGUCUUGCGCUUCUUCUUGGAGGGAGCAGCAGCAGAGGCUUCAGGAUGUUUCCUCUUUCUGGCUUCAGCCUCAGCAGUCCUCGUCUUCUUCAGUUCUGAAGCGGUUGACCUGGCAUUUGGCUUCGAGCCAGUCAUGCUGGCUGGGAAGAUAAUGGGAUGUGCUUCCUGCCUUGGUGCGUCAGGUGCGGCCACAGCGGGCUUCUUCUUCCUCUUUGCAGCCAUCCUGGGGUCGAUGCCAGGGCGACCAAGGGCCUUGCGCUUCUCAUCCUCAUUGUAGGCUUGCACACACUUGUCAGCCAGGCUCUUCAUGCGCUCACGAGAACCUUGAGCUUCUUCACGCUUCUUGAGAAAGGCUUCUUUGAGCUCUUGCAGCAUGAUCUUGAAGUUCUUGACCUCUUGCACGCUGAGCUUGGCCAUAUGCUUCUUAAACUGAGCUUUCUCAAAGUCGAUCUUCUGCUUCAGUUCAACGAUGCGCUGGGCUAUAGCUAGCUCUGAAGCAAUGGCGCCAUGGAAGGCAACACUGAGGCCAAUGGGAAGUUGCAGAUCUUCAAAGCUGAGGUUGGGCGUGUCAAACCACUCAUCAAUGAAGUUAUGGAUGAUUGCCACAUCAAAGAGAGGCAAAUUAUUGAAGAUUUCUGCUUCUUCUUUGCUCUUGAUCAGUUGCUUAAGAGCGUCAUCCGCAAGAUCUUCAUCGCUGGACAGAUCAAUGGCAUUGUUGCGCAGAAUAGCAGCAGUAGUCAGUUCUUGGCUAGUGUGUUGCAGAGGCAUCUUGACUCUCGAGGGCUUGGAGAUGCGUGACAAAUCUUCAGACUGCACACUGUCUUCAGGAGGUGCAGUAGCCAGUGGCUUCGCCUGUGAGAUUUUUGGUGCUGAGGCAGGCUUUGAAGCUUUAGGCUGCUUCAGUUUCUUUGGCUUCGGCGAUGCAGGCGCUUCAUCAGAUUCAGCAUCAUCUGCAGGCGCAUCCACGGCUGUCCCUUGAACCACGAUAUGAGUGAUGAGACCUUCCAGGUUGUAGAAGGGCCCAACAAGAUUGGGUUCAACUUCGCGGGUGCCAUCGGCACGGGGAGCAGAGGGACCAGGGUUGAAGUCUAGUCCCAAUGCCUUCUUGUUCUGCUUCGCGGAAUUCUGGGCAAACUGGAAGUUGCGCUUGAACAGAUUGUCGUCACGACACCAUAGCAGUGACAAUGGGUCAGCAUCCACAGGCUGUGGUCCACGGACCAUGCAGGGAUAGAAGCCUUGUUCAAUGGCUUCAUCUCUGGACCUGGGUUGAAGAUUUCUGUAUAGGAUGUCUCCCCAUGGUCGCUUGAUGGCAUAUUCCUUUGUCACAAACCUGUACUUGAACCACUAUUCUGCCCAAUAUCGUCGAAUCCAUUGGAUUCGUGUCUUGCGCUGAUUGUAAUCCUCUUCUGGAUCUGUCUUGUACAGCUCUGAGAGGUCAUCGAGCAGAUCUCUUGAUGUUUCACCUCGACGCUUUCUGCCACCCUUCCUUGCUGAUUUCUCUGCAGCCAUGAACUUUAAACUGAAUGGCUUCAAUACGUUCAAAGGCUUCAAAGGCUUUCGCUUGCUGGACAAACAGGAACUGGCUUCGGGAGAAUUUAUAUGAUGCUGUAAGAAUUCUGCAAAUGAAUGCAGACUAUGAGAACCAAGGGAUUCUCCCACGGACAUGUACCUAUGACAGCAUUAAGGUGCGAGGGAAGGGGAAGAGGUCAUAUGCAUUCUCAGAAGAUUUUGAAGAUAAAUCAGUUUAGAAGACAUUGACCUCAUCGUGCGAAGACAUUCACUCAUAGAUAAGGAGUUGGUUCCAGAUUUUUACGAAUCCACGGAUCAGUACAAGUGAGGAAUCUAACUACUUUGUGAAGCAUAAGUGAACAUACUAGGCAUAUUAUGAGAUGCAGUAUGAAAUAGAUCCAACUUGUGUGAACAGAAACUGCUUGUGGUAGAAAGUGACGAAUCUAUAGGAUUAAAGGGGCCGUAAAAAGGAAGUUUUAUUUACCACACGAAGAAAUGCUAGACGGAGUGGAAGAGGAGGCCAAGCAGUUCGAUCGUCCAUGCCCUAACUUGGCGACGGAGGACACCUACGGCGACGGCGGAGAAGACGAUGUCCGCGGUCGGCGUGAAGACGGCGUCAGAGAGGUUGCGGCAGCUAAGCGCUUCGUCGCCGGCGUCGUCGAGGGCUAGCGGUGGUGCUAGGGUUCGUGCGAGAGUGGAAGAAAGGAUAAUGACUGUGGUGAGGCGUGUAUUUAUAGGGACAGGGACGGCUCAGUGUUAUUACAUAGGUGCCCCUGGCGAUUCACAUCUGAAGGACACGUAGCCAUCAUGCAACAUAUCGGAGGUUGUUCCACGUCCCAUGCACGCCUGGAUUGUCGGGUGGUCGUUCCCACUUCUCCGGGUUUCAGGUGAAGGAAUUAGCAUUGAAAGCGGACUUAAUGUUUGUCUCUGUAUCUUCUGCUGACAAGGACGCUGAGAAGACAUUCGACAGUUUCAAGAGAAUGCAUAUGAUUUGGAGAGAUAGAGUUUGAGAUAGAAAGCAUAGAGAGGUUAGGGUCCGAUCACAUUCACUUAGUUUAAAAGAUUCAACAAGACGACAUAGCUAUAAGUCAAUGCUGUAGAGGACAGAACACUAGUAUAUAUAAUCAACAUAGUGAAGAUAAUCAUGAAGACAGGUUGAGAUUGAAGCCAAACCAAAUGUGAAGACAUAGCAAAUGCAACGCCAUGGGUAAAACACUUCAAACAGAAGAAUUUGGUGGUGGCGUUACCCACCGUAUAUGAAGUAUUAGACCCAGACACGGCGCACAAUUAUCGUGGUGCUCCGAAGUCAAAUUCCACAUUAAUGUAUUCACACUUAGAAUGUAUGUAUUCAUUGAUUGAAGAUAUACUUCACUUCGUGUGUUGCACACCUAAGUCAUCAAUAUGCAUAAGUGUUAGGAUGUGUGCCUGAUCACAGGACAUUUGAGGAUUCCAAGAUAUUUAGCUCACACCGUAACUUGCAAAAUCUCUUCUCAUCCAAGGGCUUGGUGAAGAUAUCUGCUAAUUGCUCUUCAGUGCUGACGUGUAUGAUAUCAAUAUCUUCCUUCACAACAUGAUCUCUGAGGAAGUGAUGACGAAUUUCAAUGUGCUUUGUCUUCGAGUGCUGAACUGGGUUGUUGGCAAUCUUGAUGGCGCUUUCGUUGUCGCAAUAGAGUGGCACUUUCUUCAGAUGAAUGCCAUAGUCUUUGAGUGUUUGCUUCAUCCAUAGAAGCUGCGCGCAGCAAGAUCCAGCAGCAAUGUAUUCAGAUUCAGCAGUGGAGAGAGAUACAUAGUUCUGCUUCUUUGAAGACCAACAUACAAGCGAUCGUCCCAGAAAAUGACAUGUGCCUGAUGUAGACUUGCGAUCCACCUUGUCACCAGCAUAAUCAGCAUCCGAGAAUCCAACCAGAUCAAACUCUGAGCCCUUUGGAUACCAUAAUCCUAGAGUUGGGGUGUAAGCCAAAUAUCGAAGAAUUCGCUUCACAGCUAAGUGAUGCGAUUCCUUUGGUGCCGCUUGGAAUCGAGCACACAUGCAAACACUAAGCAUAAUAUCUGGCCUAGAUGCACAUAGAUAAAGUAAAGAACCAAUCAUGGAGCGGUAUACCUUUUGAUCGAACUCUUUACCAUUGUCGUCGGGACCCAGAUGAUGUUUGGCUGGCAUUGGCGUCGUGAAGCCUUUGCAGUCUUGCAUAGCAAACUUCUUCAGGCAAUCUUUGAGAUACUUCUCUUGAGAUAUAAAGAAGUCGUUGCGUUGUUGACGUAUUUGAAGACCAAGGAAGAACUUCAGCUCACCCAUCAUGGACAUCUGAUAUUGCUCUUGCAUCAUAUAUCCAAAAUCUUCACUGUAUUUCUAAUUGGUGCAGCCGAAGAUAAUGUCAUCCACAUAUAUUUGUCACACAAACAGUUCACCAUCAUAUGUCUUCGUGAAGAGAGUGGGGUCGAGGGAACCAGGUGUGAAGCCUUUGCUCUUCAGGAAGUAUUUGAGUGUGUCAUACCAAGCCCGAAGGGCUUGUUUGAGGCCAUAUAGUGCCUUGUUGAGCUUGUACACCAUGUCAGGAUGUUUUGGAUCUUCAAAACCAGGCGGUUGUGCAACAUACACCUCUUCUUCAAUCUUGCCAUUGAGAAAGGCACUCUUCACAUCCAUUUGAUACAGAAGAAUAUUAUGAUGAUUUGCAUAGGCCAGCAGUAUGCGGAUAGCUUCAAGUCUAGCCACAGGAGCAAAUGUUUCAUCGAAGUCAAUCCCUUCAACUUGAGUGUAUCCUUGAGCAACGAGAUGAGCUUUGUUUCUGACAACUUGACCAUGCUCAUCUUGCUUGUUGCGAUAUAUCCAUUUGGUGCCUAUUAUAUUGUGCUUCCGAGGAUCAGGACGCUUAACCAGUUCCCAUACAUUAUUCAGCUCAAACUGUUGAAGCUCUUCUUGCAUAGCUUGAAUCCAUUCAGGUUCCAUGAAUGCUUCUUCAACUUUCUUGGGUUCUGUUAUUGAGACGAAUGCGAAGUGCCCAUAGAAAUUUGCUAGCUAUGUUGCCCUUGAACGAGUGAGUGGACCUGGUGCAUUGAUGAUAUCAAUUAUUCUCUCAAUCUGCACUUCAUUUGCAACACGAGGAUGUACAGGACGAAGAUUUUGCUCUUGCUGAUCAUUGUCAUUGUUAGAGGGAUUGUCUUCAGGCUGAGCAUUUUCUUCAGGUUGAUCAGGUGCGGAGAUGAUAAGUUCCUCUUCAGGUUGAGCUUCAGAAGGUAUGAUUUCUCCAGUUCCCAUAAGUUUGAUUGAUUCACUGGAUGGAACUUCAUCUAGCACAUUUGGUAGGUGCUCUCUUUGUGAGCUGUUAGUCUCAUCGAACCGCACAUCCACUGUUUCAACCACUUUAUAAUGAAAGAGAUUGAAGACUCUGUAGGAGUGCGAAUCCUUUCUAUGUCCAAGCAUAAAACCCUCAUGUGCUUUUGGUGCAAAUUUUGAAGUGUGAUGUGGAUCCUUGAUCCAACACCUGGCGCCAAAUACUCUGAAGUAACUGACAUUUGACUUCUUGCCAGUAAGGAGCUCAUAGGAUGUCUUGUUCAGAAGCUUGUGAAGAUAAACACGGUUGAUUGUAUGGCAUGCAGUAUCAAUGGCUUCAGGCCAGAGCUUUCUUGGAGUCUUGUAUUCAUCAAGCAUCGUUCGGUCCAUCUCAAUAAAUGUUCUGUUCUUGGGUCGACGACGCCAUUCUGCUGUGGCGUGUAUGGAGCUGAGAAUUCAUGUGUGAUGCCCAAAGUAUCAAGAUAUGUAUCCAGGCCAGUGUUCUUGAAUUCAGUGCCAUUGUCACUUCUGAUGUGUUUUAUCUUGGCGCCAUAGUUGUUCAUUGCUCGAUUGGCGAAGCGUCUGAAGACAUCCUGCACUUCAGUCUUGUAGAGGAUUAUAUGCACCCAAGUAUAUCUAGAAUAAUCAUCAACAAUGAAAAAGCCAUAGAGACAAGCAAUAGUAGUAAGAGUUGAGUAAUGAGUGGGACCGAAAAGAUCCAUGUGGAGCAGUUCGAAGGGUCGAGUCGUUGUCAUGAUUGUCUUCGAGGGAUGCUUGGCCCUCGUCAUCUUUCCUGCUUCACAGGCACCGCAUAAGUGAUCUUUCUUGAACUUGACGCCCUCGAUGCCUAUGACAUGCUUCUUCUUUGCAAGGGUGUGUAGGUUCCUCAUGCCAGCAUGCCCUAGCCUCCGAUGCCAGAGCCAGCAUUCUGAAGCUUUUGCUAGAAGACAUACGGCAAGUUGUGGUCCUACUGAGAAAUCUACCAUGUACAAAUCAUCUUUUCGAUACCCUUCAAACACUAGAGACUUGUCAUAUUCCAUUAGAACAAGGCAACGAUAUUUUCCAAACAUCACAAUCAUGUUUGAAUUGCAAAGCAUUGAGACAGACAUUAAGUUGAAACCAAGGGAUUCAACAAGCAUGACUUUAUCCAUGUGUUGAUCCUUUGAGAUUGCAACUCUACCUAGACCCAAUACCUUACUUUUAUCAGUGUCAGCAAAUGUGAUGUGACUUUUGUCGGAUGGACGUAAGGUUGAGUCCAUAAGGAGGCUUUGCUUGCCAAUCAUGUGAUUGGUACACCCACUAUCAAUAAUCCAUUCUAAAGCAGCUGGUGUCGUACUGUCAGGACCCCGACUCGAUGUCACAUCGAUCUAGCCGGUAACACCUCAUAUCACUUUGCGGCCUCACGCACGGUAUCCCCACGGGUGUCGUCUUACCUUUUCCCGGGACCGUUUGCGCCUUUUGGCUCACGUAUAUGAUAGUGUCGCUAGCAUCCAUAUGAUAAGGAGCCCGGGCUGACAUGACUAGUCGUAAACCCAAAGUGGCACAGACUUACAGGGACAGGCAUCCAUGACCCAGCUUCGAACGUGUCGGUCAUCAGCAAGUGGGUCCGGGCUGUAGCACUGGGCUAGCAGGACUCCGGUAAACCGGGCUGUAGCGGGCUAACAGGACUCCGGUACUCAAAGCGUGACAUUUCCCCGAAGGGACAGACACAGGAACGAAGAAGGACACAUGCCGGCCAGCCUAAGUGUUCCAGAGCAGUAGCAAGCUACCAUGGCUCAGCGGUAACACUAGGAGACAUUUCCCGGUAAGAGAGGCUACUAAAGAUAAACAACUAGAUAGUCAGAUCCCACACAUAGCACUACACAUUACACGUACGCAUAACAUGCAAGUAUGUGCUGUACAACAUGGCAUCACAGCAUAACUCAACGAUCAUAUAGAUAAAAGCUCAGAAGAGCCAUCAUAGCAUUUAUUGCAAACAGGGGUCGCAAGACCCGUCAUACAGAGCAUACAAGCAACAAGCGGAAGCAUUACAUGUCUGGGUACAGACAUCUACAAAUGAAAAAGGCUGGAAGCCUGACUAUCUACAACAUCCGAUCAAGAUCGUAGCUGAGGUACUAGCUACUAGUCGAAGUCCACAAGAACACUAGAAAGACCGAAGUCUCCGCUGCAAAAACAUAAAUAAAGCAACAUGAGUACAAAGGUACUCAGCAAGACUUACAUCAGAUCCUAUCAUACAUGCAUUUGUAUCAAGAGGUAAUGUGGGGUUUAGUUGCAGCAAGCCAGCUUAGACUCUGUGGCUAUCCUAUUCUACGACUACCAGAAACUUUGGAGGUGAAACAACGUACACGAGUCCACUAAUCACCACACAAUACACUACUAUGGAUUCAUCCCCGUCUCCCUACGAGAAGGCCAUCCAUAGCACUCACACUUGUCUUGAGCAUUUUAGAGUAUCCACUUCAAGUUGUCUAUGUACCAUGUAAGCAUCCAAGAAGUCCAUAACCGCGGACCCGGCUAUUCGAAUAGAUCAUGUUAACCCUGCAGGGGUAUACUUCUUCACACACGCUCUCGCCACUUACCGCCAUGUACACGUCAUGUAUCUCGGCAACCUUCAAGCGGAAGCCUGGCGAGGGUGUCGGCCACGACCUGACUAACCACACAAGACUCUAGUCCAGGUUUAUCGCCUAUUCGGGUUCCAUCCGCAAGGAGAUCCGGCCGGGGUGUCGCUUACGGCCCCAAACGAUGUGUACAGGGUUCCCGAGCCCACCAACCGGGUGCCACUCGGUACACCGGGCCACAUGUGCCUAGUCUGUCCCAAGCCCACCCUGCCGGGUGCCACUUGGUAGAAAAAUAGCACUACCUACAAACACCAGAAACUAGUUGCGACUCCUGGACAGAGAUCAAGUUGGUUAAUAAGUCGAGAGGGCUUGGAGCGCCCGGAGCCCAAUGUGUGGUAGUAUCGAGUCAUUGGACAACAUACACAGAACUCAGGGCUUAAGGACGGUUCCAGUGAGACAACCCACCAUGUACUCCUACAUGGCCUCUCAUCGCUACCUUUACCAAAUCGUGUUCACACACUUCACUCUCAGCAUCAGAACAUAUCGUGACACUCCAAUUCAUUCCCAAUGAACCAGACCUGACACACUCUAAGCAAUAGCAGGCAUAGCAUGGUAGGAACACAUCAGUGGCUUCAAUCAACUCCUACACAUGCUAGUGGGUUUCAACUAUUUACUGUGGCAAUGACAGGUCAUGCAGAGGAAUGGGUUCAACUACCGCAGCACAAAGUAGCAGAUGAAUCGUUGUUGUCCUAAUGCAAUAACUGAGAGCAGGAGCGAGAGAGUAGGGUUUUAUCGAAAUGAACAAGGGGGUUUGCUUGCCUGGUAAAUCAACAAGGGAGGCACUGCUUCACAGACAGGUACUCUGGAACGUCUCCGGAGCAGGACCUAUCGAGAAGGAACAAUGCCGGCAAUCAAUACACAAUCAUAUGCAACAAUAUGAUGCAUGAACAUGGCAUGUAGAUGUGAUGCUGUUGAGCUAAUGCAACUAGUAAACAUUUGGUUUGAAGUCCAUUUGAACCAAAGGUUCAAAUGCAUUUCUAAAUUAGGUCUCUUAUAUAUGCCAUAAUGUGUUUUCCCAUAUUCAGCAUGUAUAGGUUGGUUUUUCAUGCAUGAAACUAGUACAGAUGGAAAGAUUGCAUUUUUCUGAUAAUUUUUCAUAUAUAAAUUAUUUUAAUCUGAGCUACGGUUGAAUUGUUAUGAAUUUUUGAAGUUUAAAUCAUUUUCUGGAUUUUCUGAAUUAUUUUAAUUCCAGAAAAUGUAUAAUUGCGUCAGCAUGACGUCAUCAUUGCAUCAGCGGUCAACGCGGCUGUCCAGGUCAAAUCUGACGUGUGGGACCCACACGUCAGUGACAGGGGGUUAACCCCGAGUCAAACCCGGGCUGGUUAGCUUUGACUAAGCCCUGGGGCCCACUUGUCAGCGUCAGUAGGUGGGGGGUUAGUGGCUAAUUAACUAAGCCACGUCAGCCCGCCGGAGUUCUGGCCGGCGGCGACCAUUAGCGCGGCGGCGACUCGCCGGACGUGCGUUACAGACGGUGUUUGAUCGCGCGAAGACCACCGGGGCGUAGCCCGUCUUCGUCCGCAACCAGGGGAGCUGAUGGGGGGGCUGCGGGGGCGCCGGAGCUCGCCGGAGCAAGCUUGCGGCGGCGGCCGGAGCUCGGCUGUGUUUGGGGACGCGGCUGCAGCGUGCAAACGAGCGAACUAAAGCGCUCGCGGGGCACUACGAGGUGCGGCGAGAGUGCUAGGUGCACUGGCGUGGCCAAAAGGUCGCCGGAGCAACGCCAGCGACAAGCUCGAGCAGAGGCGAGCUUCGGCCAUGGCGGAGCUAAGGCCUAGAUGGCGCAAAUGGACACGGGGAGGAGGGGGUUCGGUGCGGGGGCUCACCGCGGAACCAGCGAGCGCGAGGGCGAGGUCGGGGAUGCCCGGUAGCUCCCGAGUCGCCGGCGAGGGUCCACGGCGGCCGGAGUCGAAUUUGGCGACGGCGACGGCUCCACGGGGCAUCCGGAGGGGCACAGCUUGACGGGGAGCUUCAGGGCGGAGGAGCGGAGCUUCCGCGUGUGUCGGGAAGGCGAGGGGAGGCCGGUGGCUACGGCGAUGCCCGUCGGCGGCGGCGGUGGUUCUCGGGUGAGAGAGAGAGAGCAGGGGGAGAGGAGGAGGGCGAGGGAGAGUGAGAGCGGUGCGGGGCAGCUGCGUGGCUUCGUCCGGGGCAUCGAGGGCGAGAGAAGGAAGCAGGAGGUGGCCAGCAGGGGGGGAGGUGGCGCGCGCGCGUGCCGGCGAGCGUCGAGCACACGCCCGUCCUCCUGGCAGAGGAGGAAGGCGACAGGGGAGGGGGGGCCAGGUGGGCUGGGCCGCCUCCUGGCUGGGCCGGCCUGCUGCUGCUGGGCUGCGCAGGGGAGGGGAGGCCCAGGUAAGCCCCUCCUUCUUUUAUUUUUGUUUUCUAAUUUUUCUGACAUUUGUUUUGAUUUAAUAAAUAUAUUAAAUCAUUUAAUUUUAUUAUGCCAAUUUUUGUAGGGGCUAAUGGUAUUAUUCCAGAGCUCUUUUAUAAUUGGCAUAAUUUUUGGACCACAUUUCAUAUAUAUAGAAAUAUAUUUCCAAUGCAAAUAUUUAUCGAAUUAAUCCAAAUGGCCAAAAUAAAUGUCCAUGAGCUCCUAAAAAUAUUGUUUUGAUUUUUAUCUCUGUCCAAUAUUUUUAGAGGGCAUCAUGAGCAUUUUCUUGGACCCUUUUGGAGAAAUUUUUACUUGGGUCAUUAUCAAAAAUGAUUCUGAGGGUUCCACCAAUCCUCAUUUCAAAUUUAAAAUGAAAUUUAAAUAUGAUGCACAAAUAGCUAGCUAGCCUAGGUCAUACCAGACUAGGGAUGUGACACGUACCCUACAGUGCAGUUAGGGGGAUAGGCUUCACGAAGAGAAUUGUGAAGCAAAAAAAUUUGAUGAACCAGUGGAUUAUGAAAGCUUACAUCGAGAUUUGGACUGAUAGGGCGAGUAGCAAGCGAUUCAGGAACAAAGUACAUAAUUAGACCAUUUGGGCAUUUGAUCUUGCGCCCUACAAGAUGUUUAAGGUCCCCAGCAAUAGCAUCAGACGAUUUUGGUUUUCUGCUGGAGACCUUUCCCUGCAAAAGAGAGUUAAGAUUUCUUAGCCACCCACAUCUUCAAUGGUGGCUUUGAAGCAAUGAGUCUAAGUGCAGCAUCUGAGAACUUUGGCUUUGGAGCCCUAGCAAAAAGUCUAUCAGGUGGACAAUAGUACUCAUAAGAAUAAGCAGAAUAGUUCUUGGUCUUAUGAACAUGGCGGUUUGAUGAACCGCGCUCAUAUUCAUAGGCCUGAGUAUGGCUUCCCUGCAAAACAUUUGCGUUAGUGCGACUCCGGUGAGUCCUCUGUCUAUAUGAAGCCUUUGGACCGUAUGAAGCCUAUGGUCUGGGGUUUGUCUUCUUCACCUGUGGUGUCAUGAUGACAUUCACAGGAAGAUUCUCCAAACACCUUUUUGGCACCCAGAUCUUCUUCAUAGGCGGUCCAUUCCUGCAGUUAGUACCAAUAUACCUGGCAAACACUUCACCAUUCUGAUUCUUAAAUAGUUUAUAGUUUGCAUCAAAGGAUUCAUCAAUAACAAUGGGAUUAGCACAAGUGAAGCCAGAUAGGGUGGACGGAUCCGCUGAAGGUUCCUUUGCAGCAACCCAUGUGGUUUUGGGGUACUGCUCAGGUUUCCAGUAAGAGCCAUCGGCAUUCAUUUUCCUUUCGAACCCAACACCCUCUUUCCUAGGGUUUCGGUUCAGGAUCUGCCUUUUGAGGACAUCACAUAGUGUCUGAUGCCCUUUGAGACUUUUGUACAUCCCUGUUUCAAGCAGUGUCUUCAACCUAGCAUUCUCAUUAGCAAUAGCAGUGGUAUCCUCAGCAGAGGGGUUAGUUACCACAUCAACAGGUGAAGAUAUUGCAACAGUAGCAGCAGUAGAACAUUCAGCAACAGAAGUAGCGUUAUCACGCUCAAUGCAUUUAAGACAUGGUGGUUCAAAUCCUUCCUGAGCUGAACUGAUCUGUUUAGCGCGAAGUGACUCGUUUUCCUUUUGAAGAUCUUCAUGAGCCGCUCUCAAUUUCUCAAGAUCUUGCUUCCUUUGAAGAUAAUCAUAGGAAAGCCUUUCAUGAGUUGUUGAAAGCGUUUCAUGACGACUUUCAAGUUCCUCAUACUUAACAUGAAGAUUUUUUAUGUCUUCAAUUAAGGACUGAGUUCGAGUCAUUUCAGUGUCUAACAUAUCAUCGCUUUUGUCUAACAGUUUUUGAAUGUGUUCCAUAGCUUUCUGUUGUUCAGUUGCAAUUUUAGCAAGUGUUUUGUAACUAGGUUUGGAAUCACAAUCAGAUUCAUCGUCACUAGAUGUUUGAUAGUGAGUAGUGCGUGUGUUUACCUUGGCACCGCGUGCCAUGAAGCAGUAGGAAGGAGCGGAGUAGUCCUUGUCAAUUGCAUCGGUGUCGGUGAUGAAGUCAUUGUCUUUAGUGUUGAAGAUGGACUUGGCAACGUAUGCUGUAGCCAGACUCGCAACGCUAGAAUCGGACUCCUCCUCAGACUCCACCUCCGCCUCCUCAGAAGCAGACUCCUCCUCAGAAUCCAUUUCCUUGCCAACAAAUGCACGUGCCUUGCCAGAUGAGCUCUUCUUGUGUGAUGAAGACUUUGAGGAAGACUUGGAAGAAGUCUUUGAGUAUUUCUUCUUCUUCUUCUUGUCGUCAGAGUCAUACUCCUUGCUCUUCUUCUUCUUGUUGUUCUCAUUGUCCCACUUUGGACACUCAGAGAUGUAGUGGCCAGGUUUCUUGCACUUGUGACAUGUUCUCUUCUUGUAGUCAUGAGCAGAAGCUUCAUCAUUUCUUGAGCUUGAUCGUGAAGACUUUCUGAACCCUUUCUUCUUGGUGAAUUUUUGGAACUUCUUCACAAGCAGAGCAAGCUCCUUUCCAAUGUCUUCAGGAUCAUCAGAACUGCUGUCAGAUUCUUCUUCAGAUGAGGAGACAGCUUUUGCCUUCAAGGCACGAGUUCGCCCAUAGCUGGGACCGUAGAUGUCUCUUUUCUCAGAAAGCUGAAACUCGUGUGUGUUGAGCCUCUCAAGUAUGUCAAACGGAUCGAUUGUCUUGAAAUCAGGGCGUUCUUGAAUCAUCAGGGCUAGGGUGUCAAACAAAAUGUCAAGUGAUCUCAGGAGUGUCUUGACGACUUCAUGCUUGGUGAUCUCAGUGGCGCCGAGGGCUUGAAGCUCAUUUGUGAUGUCAGUGAGUCGAUCAAACAUGAGCUGGACAUUCUCAUUGUCAUUUCUCUUGAAGCGGUUGAAGAGGUUGCGAAGGACACUGAUUCUCUGAUCUCUCUGGGUGGAGACGCCUUCGUUGACCUUGGAGAGCCAGUCCCAGACUAGCUUGGAAGUCUACAACACACUCACACGGCCAUACUGUCCUUUGGUCAGAUGACCACAGAUGAUAUUCUUGGCAGUAGAGUCCAGUUGAACGAACUUCUUGACAUCAGCAGCAGUGACACCUUCUCCAGCCUUGGGAACGCCGUUCUUGACGACAUACCAUAGGUCGACAUCAAUGGCUUCAAGAUGCAUGUGCAUAUUAUUCUUCCAGUAGGGAUAUUCAGUUCCAUCGAAGACGGGGCACGCAGCGGAGACUUUAAUUAUCCCUGCAGUCGACAUAGCUAAAACUCUAGGUGGUUAAACCGAAUCACACAUAACAAGGGAGUACCUUACUCUGAUACCAAUUGAAAGUGCUAGUGAUCGACUAGAGGGGGGGUGAAUAGGCGAUUUUUAAGAAAGUCUUCAAAACAUGGAAGUUUCGAAGACAAACGAUAGAAGUAAACCUAUUACCACGCAGCGGAAGGUAGACUACACUAGGCAACCUUAGUCAAGUAACCAAAGAAGUGAAAGCACAAUGACUAAUAGCAGCUAGGCAGUAAGGAUCAGGUAGGAAGAUAUUGUGAAGCCAAUCAGAACAAGCAGUCACUCAGUGAAGACAAAAGAUAAUGCAAUCUUGCAAUGACUUCACAAGGACCAACAGUGAGUAAAGGGGAGGGAAGGAUGAAACCAGUGACUCGUUGAAGACAAUGAUUUGUUGGACCAGUUCCAGUUGCUGUGACAACUGUACGUCUGGUUAGGGCGGCUAGGUAUUUAAACCUGAGGACACACAGUCCCGGACGGACACCCAGUCCUGAACACGCAGCUCAGAACCCUUAGUCCUCACCGUAUUCCCCUUGAGCUAAGGUCACGCAGACCUCGCCCAAUCACCAUGGUAAGUCUUCAAGGUAGACUCCCAAACCUUCACAGACUUCGUUCAGGGUGAUCCACAAUGACUCUUGGAUGCUCAGAACGCGAUGCCUAACUGGCUGGAGGAUUCACAGUCCUCAAGUGUAAUAAGUCUUCAGAUCACACAGACAGGACGACUUAAGUGAUGCCUAACACUCUUUGGCUCUGGGUGGUUAGGACUUUAUCCUCGCAAGGAAUUCUCUCUCAAAGGCUUCGAGGUGGGUUGCUCUCAAAUGACAACAGUCGUACUUUAACUCUAAGCAGCCAUCCGUUUAUGGUUGUAGGGGGUGGGCUAUUUAUAGCCACUAGGCAACCCGACCUGGUUUGUCCGAAAUGACCCUGGGUCACUAAGGAACUGACACGUGUUCCAACGGUCAGAUUUCAAACACACACGGCAACUUUACUUGGGCUACAAGCAAAGCUGACUUCUCCAACUCUGGACAAGAUUCGCUCUCAUAGUCUUCACUCGAAGACAUAGGAUUUUGGUUAAGCAUCACUUCAGUCAUUCUGACUGGUUCUCUUGGACCACACUUAACAGUACGGUGGUUCCUAUGACUCAACAAAGAAGAAAAAGAACUACGGAAGAUCUAAGUCUUCGUGCUCCAUAGUCUUCAUGCGAUGUCUUCUCUUGUCAUAGUCUUCAAUGUGAAUGUCUUCACAUACCACCUUUGACUUCAAUGUCUUCAUACAUUUUUAGGGGUCAUCUCUGGUAGGAAAACCGAAUCAAUGAGGGACUUCUACCUGUGUUAUCCUGCAAUUCUCACAAACACAUUAGUCCCUCAACUAGGUUUGUCGUCAAUACUCCAAAACCAACUAGGGGUGGCACUAGAUGCACUUACAAUCUCCCCCUUUUUGGUGAUUGAUGACAAACUAGUUGAAGUUUUCAAUGGGGAAUAUAAUAUGUGAAAUUGUAAAGGAUAGGGAAUUGUCUUCAUAAGUUGCAAGGACUCCCCCUGAAGAUGUGCAUAUAAGUAAUUUUCUUUUGGAAUGCAAAUGCACAUGGCAGGUUGUACUUGUGGAGAUCCUCUUCAACUUAUGAUGACAAUUCAUCAUGCAUGAAAAGUAUGUGAAGAUAAUGACAUGCAUAAUGAAAAAUGGACGUCUGCAAAAUGAUCUAAGUGCGGAAUUUAUCGUCGCACAUGCGGAAUUUAUCAUCGCAUCACAAAAUAGCAAAUAAGUAGCAGACGACCAUCGAGUUUAAGUGCUACAACUCAAAGAACCAAAUGUAUCAAAACGAGAGUUGUAAACACUAGGCAAAACAUAAAGUAACCGCCCAUAUGGACCCGCUUGAAGACUAUCAAACUCAUAUGCCUCUCCCCCUUUUGUCAGUGAGGACCAAAAAGGUUUGAAGACAUAGAGCAUCUACUCGUUCCCAUGAAGAGUAGGUGAAGCAGCAAGGUCGUCGGUGGUGUGCGGCGGUGCAGAAGAACUUGGAGCAGUGUCGAUGCAUGCAGAAGUAGGGGGCGGUGAAGUGGCAUCAUCUUCGUCCUCGAUCACUCUGGCAUUCACAGUUGCCGCAGAGGAAGAGAACUCAGAGUCUUCAAGAGAUGGAGUUCGUCGCAGCACAGUCCUUCGGGGAGGUGUGGAGUCAAACUUGAAACGUUCAGAGAAGCCAUCCUCUUGAAGAUCAUCCUCAGAACACAUAAGCGUCAGCCCUUUCCAUGUACGCCGACAGGUUUCAUGGGCAACAAAGGCAUUCUUGCUGGCUAGAUUGCGAAUGCGGUUGACAUCCACCAAGAGGCUUUGCAUUUGGCGCUUCAGCCAGUCAUGAUGCCUAUCUUGUUUCUGAUGAAGAGCAACCAGAAGCUCUCGGUCAUUGAGAACACGAGAUUGCUUCUUGGGCCGUUGGGCAAUAGUGCUUUCAGUGGCUUAAGUGAGGGCACGAUGAGGUGCACGUGUAGUACCAGCCAGAGGAUAAACACGUGUGACUGCUUCAACUCCUUCAAUGUUUUGAGAGAAACUUUGAUGCUCCGCAUUCUGAAGACUAAGAGGCUCCUUGGCAGGCUCUGGAUAGAUGGCUUCAACGGACAUAUCCACGUCAGGCAGAAAGAUCUGAUGAUUGCGAGCAGAGGGCUGAUAUGAGAUAGCUGAGUGGAGUUUAAUCAGCCGCAUUAUCCAUGGAGCAUAGAACUUCAAGCCAAAAAGAUCAGAUCCUGAUGCAGCAAGUUGGUGGAUGAAGAAGUCUUGUGCGUUGAGGCAUUUUCCGUGAAGAAUAUAGAAGACCAAAGUCUUCAUUGCACCUUCCAGCUUUGCAUGUGGAGAAUGUCCUUUGAUGGGCCAGAGAGUUCGCCUUAUAAUGUGAUAGAUAGUCCGUGGCAGAUACUCAAGGUCUUCAACAAAGAACUCCUUAGGAUAGGCAGCAUCUGGAGUCAAAGGCUUCAUCAUACUGAGCAUCUGACUCAUGUUUGGUUCAGGCUUCUGUAAGAUGCUCUCCAUAGCUUCACUAUGAAGCUGACAGCCAGGUUCAUAGAGAUCUCCAGGAGUGGGCAGACCAGUGAGCUCAAUGAUAUCAAAGGCUUUGGCUUCAUGAUGAACAUUUCCUGUCAUCCACACAAGGACCCAGGUCUUCGGAUCUCUGUUGUAUCCACGUAUGUGAAGAGUGACAUAAAAUUGGAGCAACAACUCUUCGUUCCAGUGCUCUUGGUCGGUGACGAAAGGCAACAAUCCAACCUCUUUGAAGCAAUCCAGAGCUUCUUCUAAGUAGAGCAGACCAGCUAUUGCUUCGGUGUCAAGACGCAUGUGUGGGAAGAUGCGACCUUGAUUGUACAAAAUGCAUGAGUAAUAGCUUCGCUGCGGAUAGCUCCAGAACCGAUCAGAAGAUAUUCGUUCCCUUGAGUAGGGGUUCUUGGAGCUAUUGAAGAAGGUGUUGUCUGCUUUGAAGCCGUUGACAUUAAAGGAUCCAGGUGCUGAUGCAGGACCUGGAAACCUGGGCAACCUUGGCAUUGGCUUCUGUACCUGAGGCCCAUGCUCAAUAUGAUAGUCAAACUGAGAACCAGCAGCAGGUGCAGGAAUAGGAGCAGUAGCAUCAUUGGCUUCGCUGACUUCUGGUUCAUGGGUUGGUGUAGGCUCCACAUUUGCUUCAGCCAUGACAACGUUAGUGGCUUCAUUCGUGUUGGUGAUGGCAGCCUCAAGAUUUUCUACCUCCACGUGAUGAGCUGGAGGGUCGGGCACAGACACGUUUUCCUCGAGAACAGCUUCUUCAGUAGUUGGGGGAGUAGGGACACGUUCUUCUUCUUGGGUGUCAUCGGCUGAUACAGCCGGAAUGUCUUCAGCAGCUUGAGCCUCAGACUCAGAGACUUGAGACCUUGGUCCUUUGCGAAGCCUGCGUAACGCUGGCGACGCCUUUGGAGAUGGAGUUGGCUGGGCCUCAAGGUCAUCUUCUUCUUGUUGUUGUGGGUGAUCAGCCCAUGAUGCAUCCUGAGCAAUUGGCGUCAGAGGACGACCAAUGCUGAUGAGUUCGUUGUGCGUAAGCACAGGCGAUGAUACCUGUUGGUGCUCGACCAGAGGAAGAACUACAUCAUCGUCAACAUUGUCAUGGUGACCAAUGUCUUCAACAGCGGUGGGAUCAGCUGCUGGAAUGUCUUCAGCUUCAUGAGCCUCUAUGGAAGCAGGCUCAUGGACAGUCAGUUGGCGCUCUUGAUGUUCAGCAGCAGGGCGAACCAUGGAGAUAGGUUCAACAACUAAGGGCUCUGUGGGAGCAGCCCGAUCCUUCUUGGUCUUGCGCUUCUUCUUGGAGGGAGCAGCAGCAGAGGCUUCAGGAUGUUUCCUCUUUCUGGCUUCAGCCUCAGCAGUCCUCGUCUUCUUCAGUUCUGAAGCGGUUGACCUGGCAUUUGGCUUCGAGCCAGUCAUGCUGGCUGGGAAGAUAAUGGGAUGUGCUUCCUGCCUUGGUGCGUCAGGUGCGGCCACAGCGGGCUUCUUCUUCCUCUUUGCAGCCAUCCUGGGGUCGAUGCCAGGGCGACCAAGGGCCUUGCGCUUCUCAUCCUCAUUGUAGGCUUGCACACACUUGUCAGCCAGGCUCUUCAUGCGCUCACGAGAACCUUGAGCUUCUUCACGCUUCUUGAGAAAGGCUUCUUUGAGCUCUUGCAGCAUGAUCUUGAAGUUCUUGACCUCUUGCACGCUGAGCUUGGCCAUAUGCUUCUUAAACUGAGCUUUCUCAAAGUCGAUCUUCUGCUUCAGUUCAACGAUGCGCUGGGCUAUAGCUAGCUCUGAAGCAAUGGCGCCAUGGAAGGCAACACUGAGGCCAAUGGGAAGUUGCAGAUCUUCAAAGCUGAGGUUGGGCGUGUCAAACCACUCAUCAAUGAAGUUAUGGAUGAUUGCCACAUCAAAGAGAGGCAAAUUAUUGAAGAUUUCUGCUUCUUCUUUGCUCUUGAUCAGUUGCUUAAGAGCGUCAUCCGCAAGAUCUUCAUCGCUGGACAGAUCAAUGGCAUUGUUGCGCAGAAUAGCAGCAGUAGUCAGUUCUUGGCUAGUGUGUUGCAGAGGCAUCUUGACUUAUGAGAGGAACAAUGAGUAUGAUGCUAAUGACUCCACAGAGAAGGAUGAUGAGGCAGAGGAAGAACAUGAGGAUACAGCUAUGGAAGAGAACAACAGGAAGAGGUCGAUAGUGACAGAGAAUGCAGCUAAGGGGACCAACGGAGGCAUGGAAGGAGGGGCGACAAUUUCAGAUGCUAACAAGUUGGCGAUCAUACCACAUAGCUUUGCUCCUUUGAGCCCUCCCCGAAGAGGGACCCGAAGUGCAACUGAAAGUUCUAGUGAUCGACUAGAGCGGGGGUGAAUAGGCGAUUUUUAAGAAAGUCUUCAAAACAUGGAUGUUUCGAAGACAAACGAUAGAAGUAAACCUAUUACCACGCAGCGGAAGGUAGACUACACUAGGAAACCUUAGUCAAGUAACCAAAGAAGUGAAAGCACAAUGACUAAUAGCAGCUAGGCAGUAAGGAUCAGGUAGGAAGAUAUUGUGAAGCCAAUCAGAACAAGCAGUCACUCAGUGAAGACAAAAGAUAAUGCAAUCAUGCAAUGCCUUCACAAGGACCAACAGUGAGUAAAGGGAAGGGAAGGAUGAAACCAGUGACUCGUUGAAGACAAUGAUUUUUUGGACCAGUUCCAGUUGCUGUGACAACUGUACGUCUGGUUCGGGCGGCUAGGUAUUUAAACCUGAGGACACACAGUCCCGGACACCCAGUCCUGAACACGCAGCUCAGAGCCCUUAGUCCUCACCGUAUUCCCCUUGAGCUAAGGUCACGCAGACCUCGCCCAAUCACUCUGGUAAGUCUUCAAGGUAGACUCCCAAACCUUCACAGACUUCUUUCAGGGCGAUCCACAAUGACUCUUGGAUGCUCAGAACGCAACGCCUAACUGGCUGGAGGAUUCACAGUCCUCAAGUGUAAUAAGUCUUCAGAUCUCACAGACCACAGACAGGACGACUUAAGUGAUGCCUAACACUCUUUGGCUCUGGGUGGUUAGGACUUUAUCCUCGCAAGGAAUUCUCUCUCAAAGGCUUCGAGGUGGGUUGCUCUCAAACGACAACAGUCGUACUUUAAUUCUGAGCAGCCAUCCGUUUAUGGUUGUAGGGGGUGGGCUAUUUAUAGCCACUAGGCAACCUGACCUGAUUUGUCCGAAAUGACCUUGGGUCACUAAGGAACUGACAUGUGUUCCAACGGUCAGAUUUCAAACACACACGGCAACUUUACUUGGGCUACAAGCAAAGCUGACUUGUCCAACUCUGGACAAGAUUCGCUCUCAUAGUCUUCACUCGAAGACAUAGGAUUUUGGUUAAGCAUCACUUCAGUCAUUCUGACUGGUUCUCUUGGACCCCCACUUAACAGUACGGUGGUUCCUAUGACUCAACAAAGAAGAAAAAUAACUACAAAAGAUCUAAGUCUUCGCGCUCCAUAGUCUUCAUGCGAUGUCUUCUCUUGUCAUAGUCUUCAAUGUGAAUGUCUUCACAUACCACCUUUGACUUCAAUGUCUUCAUACAUUUUUAGGGGUCAUCUCUGGUAGGAAAACCGAAUCAAUGAGGGACUUCUACCUGUGUUAUCCUGCAAUUCUCACAAACACAUUAGUCCCUCGACUAGGUUUGUCAUCAAUACUCCAAAACCAACUAGGGCUGGCACUAGAUGCACUUACAGCAACAAGGUGUCGAAAAGAAAAGAUGGUGUUGUUCCUACAAAAAACCCGUUGGCGGGCUCCUUCGACGGGCGCCGCCGGGGACAACGAGUGCCCUAGUUUGGAACUGUCGUGGAGCGGGUAAUGUCGCGACAGUUCAUGAAAUUCGCGAUCUAGCGAAGAAGUUUACCCCUACCCUCCUGUGUAUCAUCGAAACUCAAAUAGAUCAUGUUAGGGUAGAAGCAUUAGCAGGAACUUUAGGCUUUGAUUGUGCUUACGCAGUUGAUAGCUAGGGUAGAAGUGGAGGUAUUGCUUUCUUUUGGAAUAAAGAAAUAAAGAUUGAAGUUUUGGGCUACUCCGUGUAUCAUUUAGAUGUUUCUAUGGAGGAGCCGGGCAAGGAAAAGUGGCGCAUGACAUGUGUAUAUGGUGAAGCUCAGACCCACCUGAGACAUCAAACUUGGGAUGUUUUGAAAAACAUUAGUACAUUAAGUGACCUGCCAUGGCUCUGUAUCGGGGAUUUUAAUGAAGUUCUACGCUUGGAAGAACACGAAGGAGUUGGGAGACGUAGCAACGCUCGGAUGCAGGCUUUUCGGGAGGCCAUGGACGUCUGCGGUUUGCUUGAUAUCGGUUACAGAGGCCGUUUUUGGACCUUUGAAAAGAAGGUUGCAGGAGGUAGUUGAUGUCUACUACACAACCUUCUUCUUAUAGACGUUGUUGGGCCUGCAAGUGCACAGGUUUGUAGGACAGUAGCAAAUUUCCCUCAAGUGGAUGACCUAAGGUUUAUCAAUCCGUAGGAGGCGUAGGAUGAAGAUGGUCUCUCUCAAGCAACCCUGCAACCAAAUAACAAAGAGUCUCUUGUGUCCCCAACACACCAAAUACAAUGGUAAAUUGUAUAGGUGCACUAGUUCGGUGAAGAGAUGGUGAAACAAGUGGUAUAUGGAUAGUAAAUAAAUAUAUUUGUAAUCUGAAAUAAUAAAAACAGCAAGGUAGCAAGUGAUAAAAGUGAGCGUAAACGGUAUUGCAAUGAUAGGAAAUAAGGCCUAAGGUUCAAACUUUCGCUAGUGGAAAUUCCCUCAACAAUACUAACAUAAUUGGAUCACAUAACUAUCCCUCAACAUGCAACAAAGAGUCACUCCAAAGUCACUAAUAGCGGAGAACGAACGAAGAGGUUAUGGUAGGGUACGAAACCACCUCAAAGUUAUUCUUUCCAAUCAAUCCGUUGGGCUAUUCCUAUAUAUGUCACAAACAGCCCUAGAGUUCAUACUAGAAUAACACCUUAAGACACAAAUCAACAAAAACCCUAAUGUCACCUAGAUACUCCAAUGUCACCUCAAGUAUCCGUGGGUAUGAUUAUACGAUAUGCAUCACACAAUCUCAGAUUCAUCUAUUCAACCAACACAAAGGACCUCAAAGAGUGCCUCAAAGUUCCUACCGGAGAAUCACGACGAAAACGUGUGCCAACCCCUAUGCAUAGGUUCAUGGGUGGAACCCGCAAGUUGAUCACCAAAACAUACAUCAAGUGAAUCACGUGGUAUCCCAUUGUCACCACAGAUACGCACGGCAAAACAUACAUCAAGUGUUCUCAAAUCUUUAAAGACUCGAUCCGAUAAGAUAACUUCAAAGGGGAAACUCAAUUCAUUACAAGGGAGUAGAGGGGGAGGAGAAACAUAAGAUCCAACUAUAAUAGCAAAGCUCGCGAUACAUCAAGAUCGUGCCAAAUCAAGAACACGAGAGAGAGAGAGAGAUCAAACACAUAGCUACUGGUACAUACCCUCAGCCCCGAGGGAGAACUACUCCCUCCUCGUCAUGGAGAGCACCGGGAUGAUGAAGAUGGCCACCGGAGAAGGAUUCCCCCUCCGACAGGGUGCCGGAAUGGGUCUAGAUUGGUUUUUGGUGGCUACGGAGGCUUCUGGCGGCGGAACUCCCGAUCUAUUGUCUGUUCUGGAAGUUUUAGGUUACGUCGGUAUAUACGGGUGCAGGAGGUACGUCGGUGGACCGAAGGGGGGGCCACGAGGCACCCCAGGGGGGUGGGCACGCCCCCACCCUCGUGGGAAGCUCUCGUAUCUUCUGACGUGAGGUCCAAGUCCAUCAGGUGUGUUUCCUUCCAAAAAUAACUUCUCUAGUUGAUUUCGUUCCGUUUUGACUCCGUCUGAUAUUCAUUUUCUUCAAAACACUGAAAUAGGCAUAAAACAGCAAAUCUGGGUUGGGCCUCCGGUUAAUAGGUUAGUCCCAAAAAUAAUAUAAAAGUGGAUAAUAAAGCCCAAUAUUCCCUAAACAGUAGAUAAUAUAGCAUGGAGCAAUCAAAAAAUAUAGAUACGUUGGAGACGUAUCAAGCAUCCCCAAGCUUAAUUCCUGCUCGUCCUCGAGUAGGUAAAUGAUAAAAAAAAGAUAAUUUUUGAUGUGGAAUGCUAGUUGGCAUAAUUUCAAUGUAAUUCUUCUUAAUUGUGGCAUGAAUAUUCAGAUCCAUAAGAUUCAAGACAAAAGUUCAUAUUGACAUAAAAAUAAUAAUACUUCAAGCAUACUAACAAAGCAAUUAUGUCUUUUCAAAAUAACAUGGCUAAAGAAAGUUAUCCCUACAAAAUCAUAUAGUCUGGCUAUGCUCUAACUUCCCCACACAAAAUAUUUAAAUCAUGCACAACCCCGAUGACAAGCCAAGCAAUUGUUUCAUACUUUUGAUGUUCUCAAACUUUUCAAUCUUCACGCAAUACAUGAGCGUGAGCCAUGGACAUAGCACUAUAGUUGGAAUAGAAUGGUGGUUGUGGAGAAGACAAAAGGAGAAGAUAGUCUCACAUCGACUAGGCGUAUCAACGGGCUAUGGAGAUGCCCAUCAAUAGAUAUCAAUGUGAGUGAGUAGGGAUUGCCAUGCAACGGAUGCACUAGAGCUAUAAGUGUAUGAAAGCUCAAAAAGAAACUAAGUGGGUGUGCAUCCAACUUGCUUGCUCAUGAAGACCUAGAGCAAUUUGAGGAAGCCCAUCAUUGGAAUAUACAAUCCAAGUUCUAUAAUGAAAGAUUCCGACUAGUAUAUGAAAGUGAUAACAUGAGAGACUCUCUACUAUGAAGAUCAUGGUGCUACUUUGAAGCGCAAGUGUGGUAAAAGGAUAGUAGCAUUGCCCCUUCUCUCUUUUUCUCUCAUUUUAUUUAUUUUUUUGGGCCUUCUCUUUUUUAUGGCCUCUUUUAUCUUCUUUUUUUAUUUGGGCUUCUUUGGCCUCUUUUAUUUAUUUAUUUUCAUCCGGAGUCUCAUCCCGACUUGUGGGGGAAUCAUAGUCUCCAUCAUCCUUUCCUCACUGGGACAAUGCUCUAAUAAUGAUGAUCAUCACACUUUUAUUUUUCUUACAACUCAAGAAUUACAAUUCGAUACUUAGAACAAGAUAUGACUCUAUAUGAAUGCUUCCGGCGGUGUACCAGGAUGUGCAAUGAUGCAUGAGUGACAUGUAUGAAAGAAUUAUGAACGGUGGCUUUGCCACAAAUACGAUGUCAACUACAUGAUCAUGCUAAGCAAUAUGACAAUGAUGGAGCGUGUCAUAAUAAACGGAAUGGUGGAAAGUUGCAUGCCAAUAUAUCUCAGAAUGGCUAUGGAAUUGCCAUAAUAGGUAGGUAUGGUGGCUGUUUUGAGGAAGGUAUAUGGUGGGUUUACGAUACCGACGAAAGGUGCGCGGUAUUAGAGAGGCUAGCAAUGGUGGAAGGAUGAGAGUGCGUAUAAUCCAUGGACUCAACAUUAGUCAUAAAGAACUCACAUACUUAUUGCAAAAAUCUAUUAGUUAUCGAAACGAAGCACUAUGCGCAUGCUCCUAGGGGGAUAGAUUGGUAGGAAAAGACCAUCGCUCGUCCCCGACCGCCACUCAUAAGGAAGAAAAUCAAUAAAUAAAUCAUGCUCUGACUUCAUCACAUAACGGUUCACCAUACGUGCAUGCUACGGGAAUCACAAACUUCAACACAAGUAUUUCUCAAAUUCACAACUACUCAACUAGCAUGACUCUAAUAUCACCAUCUCCAUAUCUCAAAACAAUUAUCAAGUAUCAAACUUCUCAUAGUAUUCAACACACUCAUAAGAGAAUUUUAUUAUUCUUGGAUACCUAGCAUAUUAGGAUUUUAAGCAAAUUACCAUGAUAUUUAAGACUCUCAAAAUAAUAUAAGUGAAGCAUGAGAGUUCAUCUAUUUCUUCAAAAUAAAACUACCACCAUGCUCUAAAAAGAUAUAAGUGAAGCACCAGAGCAAAUGACAAACUACUCCGAAAGAUAUAAGUGAAGAUCAAUGAGUAGUCGAAUGAUUAUGCAACUAUGUGAAGACUCUCCCAUUUAAUAAUUUCAGAUCUUGGUACUUUAUUCAAACAGCAAGCAAAACUAAAGAAAAUAAAAUGACGCUCCAAGCAAAACACAUAUCAUGUGACGAAUAAAAAUAUAGCUCCAAGUAAAGCAUCCCCAAGCUUAGGCUCUUGGUUGUCCUUGAAUAUUACCUUGGGGUGCCUUGAGCAUCCCCAAGCUUAGGCUCUUGCCACUCCUUAUUCCAUAGUCCAUCAAAUCCUUACCCAAAACUUGAAAACUUCACAACACAAAACUUAAAGUAGAAAACUCGUGAGCUCCGUUAGUAUAAGAAAAUAAAUCACCACUUCAAGUUAUUGUAAUGAACUCAUUCUUUAUUUAUAUUGGUGUUAAACCUACUGUAUUACAACUUCUCUAUGGUUUAUAAACUCUUUUACUAGCCAUAGAUUCAUCAAAAUAAGCAAACAACACACGAAAAAACGGAAUCUGACAAAAGCAGAACAAUGUGUAGUAAUCUGGAUCAAACGUAUACUUCUGGAACUAAUACAAUUCUCAAAUAAAUUUCUGGACCUGAGGAAUUUAUCUAUUUAUCAUCUUCAAAAAGAAUUAACUAAAUAGAACUCUCCAAAUAAAAAUGGCAUCAAUUCUCGUGAGCGCUAAAGUUUCUGUUUUUUACAGCAAGUUCAACAAGACUUCCCCCAAGUCUUCCCAAAGGUUCUACUUGGCACAAACACUAAUUAAAAGCAUAAAACCACAUCUAAGCAGAGGCUAGAUGAAUUAUUUAUUACUAAACAGAAGCAAAAAGCAAGGGAAAAAAAUAAAAUUGUGUUGCCUCCCAACAAGCGCUAUCGUUUAAUGCCCCUAGCUAGGCAUGAUGAUUUCAACGAUGCUCACAUAAAAGAUAAGAAUUGUAACAUAAAGAGAGCAUCAAGAAGAAUAUGACUAGCACAUUUAAGUCUAACCCACUUCCUAUGCAUAGGGAUUUUGUGAGGAAACAACUUGUGGGAACAAUAAUCAACUAGCAUAGGAAGGCAAAACAAGCAUAACUUUAAAACUUCAAGCACAUAGAGAGGAAACUUGAUAUUAUUGCAAUCCCUACAAGCAUAUGUUCCUCCCUCAUAAUAAUUUUCAGUAGCAUCAUGAAUGAAUUCAACAAUAUAACCAGCACAUAAAGCAUUCUUUUCAUGAUCUACAAGCAUAGAAAAUUUACUACUCUCCACACAAGCAAAAUUCUUCUCAUUCGGAAUAGUGGGAGUAUCAUAAGAGACUUGAAUACUAUAAAUUGUUUCCACAUUAAAAGAGUAAUGUUCAGAGAAUGGGUACUCAUAACCAUGACAAGUUUUAUAAAUAUAAUCAUCACUACUCUUUAUAGCAUAAGUUUUAUCACAAUAAUCAUCAUAGGUAGAAGGCAUGCUAUCAUCAUAACUACUUUGCAUAUCAAAACUUGAGAGGCUAAAAAUAUCAUCAUUAUUAAACAUAGAAUCCCCAAGCUUGGGACAAACAUUAAUUGCAGCAAAUAUAUUCUCAAAUAUUUCAUCCUCAUCAAACAUAGCUUCCCCAAGCUUGGGCCUUUUCAUAUCAUAAGCAUAAUCGCUCUCAUCAUUAAUAGUAUGAAUAGCACCAAUAGUAUAGCAAUUAUCAUAUUCUUUCAAGCAAGUGCCAAAAAGAUUUUCAAGAUCAUAAGAAGCAUCAUUAUCUUCCCAAUCAUAAUCAUCACAACAAGCAAUAGGCAUAACAAAAUCAUCAUCAAGUGUAUCAUCUUCAUUUUCGUGAGGUACAACAAUAAUAGGAGCAACUUUAUUUGGGAGAGAUACCUUUUUACCUCUCUUCCUCUUUCUUUUCUUCUUAUUCACCACAUCAUGUGUGGGUUAAAUCCUCUUUUUGGAGCUCCUUAUUAAUGAGAUUUGUUGAAUAGGAGGCUCCUCCUCGUUACCUGAUUCAUCAUAAGAAAUAAUAGGAGGAUAUUGGGAAGUCUCUUCCCUUUCAUUAGUAUUCUCUUCAUCUUCUAUUUGUUUUCUUUUAUUUAUGUAGUUGGCAAUAUAAGGAUUUUCAAUACAAUUCACCGCACAAUACAUAUAAAUAUUCUCUAGAUCAAAAUGAAGAACUUUAUCAAGAUUAAACUUUGGAAUACCCUCAUUUAUAUGUUUCAUUUCUUCAUAACCCAAAAGAAGGCUAAGCUCUUUAUGAUGCUCAAGGGUAAUCAAAUUAUCACAAUGUUUGGAUACGAUUCGGUCAUGAAACAAUUUGCAUUGGAGAUUUAAAUGACCAUGUUCAUUGCAAAGUUCACAAGGAGCGCGAAAAAUAUUGAAUUUUUCAGCACAAUCAUCAAGACUUUCUUACAACAAUUUAGUUUCUAAGUACUUAUGCCUCUUGCAAUAUCUAUCUUCCCUAUUUGGCGUGUACUUACAAACCCAAUGCACUCCACAAAAAUUGACAUGUUUAUAGGAGACAUUUUCAUCAAAACUAGUGCAAUCAUCAUUAGCAUCAUGGAUAUUCAAAGAAUUUGUACUAACAACAUUACAAUCAUGCUCAUCAUUCAAAUAUUUAGUGGCAAACAUUUUAUAGAUUUCUUCUUCUAGCACUUGAGCACAAUUAUCCUUUCGAUCAUACUUACGAAAGAUAUUAAAAAGGUGAAGCGUAUGAGACAAACUCAAUUCCAUUUUUUUGUAGUUUUCUUUCAUAAACUAAACUAGUGAUAAAACAAGAAACUAAAAGACUCGAUUGCAAGAUCUAAAGAUAUACCUUCAAGCACUCACCUCCCCGGCAACGGCGCCAGAAAAGAGCUUAGUUGACGGGGUGUUGGUGCUGCUUUCCUCGCCUCCCCGGCAACGGCGCCAGAAAAGAGCUUGAUGUCUACUACACAACCUCCUUCUUGUAGACAUUGUUGGGCCUGCAAGUGCACAGGUUUGUAGGACAGUAGCAAAUUUCCCUCAAGUGGAUGACCUAAGGUUUAUCCAUCCGUAGGAGGCAUAGGAUGAAGAUGGUCUCUCUCAAGCAACCCUGCAACCAAAUAAAAAAGAGUCUCUUGUGUCCCCAACACACCCAAUACAAUGGUAAAUUGUAUAGGUGCACUAGUUCGGCGAAGAGAUGUUGAAACAAGUGGUAUAUGGAUAGUAGAUAAAUAUAUUUGUAAUCUGAAAUAAUAAAAACAGCAAGGUAGCAAGUGAUAAAAGUGAGCGUAAACGGUAUUGCAAUGAUAGGAAAUAAGGCCUAGGGUUCAUACUUUCGCUAGUGUAAGUUCCCUCAACAAUACCAACAUAAUUGGAUAACAUAACUAUCCCUCAACAAGCAACAAAGAGUCACUCCAAAGUCACUAAUAGCGGAGAACGAAUGAAGAGAUUAUGGUAGGGUACGAAACCACCUCAAAGUUAUUCUUUCCAAUCAAUCCGUUGGGCUAUUCCUAUAGGUGUCACAAACAGCCCUAGAGCUCAUACUAGAAUAACACCUUAAGACACAAAUCAACCAAAACCCUAAUGUCACGUAGAUACUCCAAUGUCACCUCAAGUAUCCGUGGGUAUGAUUAUAUGAUAUGCAUCAACAAUCUCAGAUUCAUCUAUUCAACCAACACAAAGGACCUCAAAGAGUGCCCCAAAGUUCCUACCGGAGAAUCACGGCGAAAACGUGUGCCAACCCCUAUGCAUAGAUUCAUGGGUGGAACCCGCAAGUUGAUCACCAAAACAUACAUCAAGUGAAUCACGUGGUAUCCCAUUGUAACUACAGAUACGCACGGCAAGACAUACAUCAAGUGUUCUCAAAUCUUUAAAGACUCAAUCUGAUAAGAUAACUUCAAAGGGGAAACUCAAUUCAUUACAAGAGAGUAAAGGGGGAGGAGAAACAUAAGAUCCAACUAUAAUAGCAAAGCUCGCGAUACAUCAAGAUCAUGCCAAAUCAAGAACACGAGAGAGAGAGAGAGAGAGAGAGAGAGAGAGAGAGAGAGAGAGAUCAAACACAUAGCUACUGGUACAUACCCUCAGCCCCGAGGGAGAACUACUCCCUCCUCGUCAUGGAGAGCACCGGGAUGAUGAAGAUGGCCACCGGAGAAGGAUUCCCCCUCCGGCAGGGUGCCGGAACGGGUCUAGAUUGGUUUUUGGUGGCUACGGAGGCUUCUGGCGGCGGAACUCCCGAUCUAUUGUCUAUUCUAGAAGUUUUAGGUUACGUAGGUAUAUAUGGGUGCAGGAGGUACGUCGGUGGACCGAAGGGGGGCAAUGAGGCAGGGGGGCGCGCCCCAGGGGGGUGGGCGCGGCCCCCACCCUCGUGGGCAGCUCCCGUAUCUUCUGAUGUGAGGUGCAAGUCCAUCAGGUGUGUUUCCUUCCAAAAAUAACUUCUCCAGUUGAUUUAGUUUCGUUUCGACUCCGUCUGAUAUUCCUUUUCUUCAAAACACUGAAAUAGGCAUAAAACAGCAAAUCUGGGCUGGGCCUCCGGUUAAUAGGUUAGUCCCAAAAAUAAUAUAAAAGUGGAUAAUAAAGCCCAAUAUUCCCUAAAACAGUAGAUAAUAUAGCAUGGAGCAAUCAAAAAUUAUAGAUACGUUGGAGACGUAUCAGUACUUUUACUAGAUGUAGACUAGAUAGAGCACUCUCUAAUGCACUAUGGUCUGCUAUGUUUCCUCUGGCUUGCGUGGAACACUUGGAAGCAUCAACAUCUGAUCACACUCCGAUCUUGUUGCAGUGGGGUGGAUCGGACAGAAUGACUGCCAGUCGAAGCUUCCGCUACGAAUUGAUGUGGGAGACACACGCUGAACUGGAAGAUACGAUAAGCAAUGGAUGGUCCGGUCCACCAUGCACGAUAGUAGAGGAGAUGAGACAGAAGUUAUCAGCCAUGUCAAAGAACCUUGAGGUGUGGAGUCGUGAUACCUUUGGUAGUGUCCGCAAAGAAAUAAAGAUGAUGCAACAGGAAUUGAAGAGGCUGCAUGAUGAUCCGUUGAGGGUUGGGCCAAACCACUCAGAGCUCAAGAUUGAUGAGAAACUUGUUGAGAUGUAUCACUGCGAGGAGAUCAUGUGGAGGCAAAGGGAAAGAGUGCAAUGGCUCGCUGCUGGAGAUAAGAACAUGAGAUUCUUCCAUUUGCGAGCUAGUCUAAGACGGAAGAAGAAUAUGAUAAGAGCCCUACAGAAUUCUUUGGGGGUUUUAGUGGAGGACCCGGCUGAAUUGAAAGCUUUGGCAACUGAGUUUUACCAAGAUCUUUAUACAUCAGAGGGUGUGAAUGAUAUGGAGACUGUCCUACAGCAUGUACCGAGGAAGGUAACGGCUGAGAUGAAUGCUAACCUUUGUGCACCAUAUACUAAUGAUGAGGUCAAAACAACGCUUUUCCAAAUGUUUCCCACUAAGGCACCUGGGCCUGAUGGCUUCCCAGCUCACUUUUACCAGCGUCAUUGGGAUAUAUGUGGAGAGGAAGUAACCAGAGUUGCGCUCAGGAUCGUUAGGGGAGUAGAAAGCCCCGAGAGCAUCAAUGAUACAGUUUUGGUUCUUAUUCCAAAAGUUACUAACCCCUCUCUUUUUUCACAGUUCAGGCCCAUCAGUUUAUGUAAUGUAUUGUAUAAUAUUGCCUCCAAGGUGGUGGCCAACAGGUUGAAGCUAAUCCUGCCGGAUAUUAUUUCAAGGGAGCAAUCUGCCUUUGUUCCUGGAAGGUUAAUCACGGAUAACAUCAUUUGUGCAUAUGAGUGUCUACACUUCAUGAAGAGGACCAAGUCUAAGAGCAACAGUUUUUGUGCUUUGAAAUUGGAUAUGAUGAAAGCGUAUGACAGAUUAGAAUGGUCCUACUUGCAAGCCAUAAUGUGUAGAUUGGGUUUUGAGCAGCAAUGGAUAGAUAUUGUAAUGGGCAUGGUGGCUUCAGUUUCGUUUUCAGUUCUGUUCAACGGAGAGAAGCUUGACAAUUUUAGGCCUACUAGGGGAAUCAGGCAGGGAGACCCAAUCUCCCCCUACCUUUUCUUGAUUGCAGUAGAGGGACUUUCGUGCCUCCUGAAAUGCAGUUCUCAGUCAUUAGUCUUGGUCAGUGUGAAGGUGGCUCCUACAGCGCCACCCAUUAAUCACCUUCUAUUUGCAGAUGAUAGCCUGUUACUUUUCAAGUCUAGUGUGGAGGGAGUAAAUGCAGUGCCAAACCUACUGGGAUCUUAUUGUAGUGCAUCGGGCCAGAGCAUAAAUCAUGAGAAAUCCUCAAUUUUCUUCAGUAAGGGAUGUGGCCAUCCUUUGAGGGAUAGCAUAAAAAACAUCUUGCAGGUCCAAAACGAGUCAUUGACGGACCGGUACUUGGGGAUGCCUACAGAUGUGGGUCAUUCUAAAAACGAGACUUUCAAAUAUCUCGUGGACAGAGUUUGGGAUAAGGUCAAGGGCUGGAUUGAAAAACUCUUGUCAGUGGGUGGUAAAGAAGUUCUAAUUAAUUCAGUUGCCCAAGCUAUUCUAGUUUACUCCAUGUCAUGCUUCAGGUUACCUCGAGGACUUUGUGACAAAAUCACCUCUAUCAUACGCCAGUUUUGGUGGGGGAGUAAAAGAGGUAAAAGAAAACCUAGCUGGGUUGCAUGGGAUGUUAUGAUACGACCAAAGCAUGUGGGAGGUCUGGGUUUCGUGAUUGAGAUUUUCAAUCUGGCACUACUGGCUAGGCAGGCAUGGAGAGUGCUCAACGACCCUGAAUCGUUAAGCGCUCAAAUUCUAAAAGCGACUUACUUUCCAGGUUCGGAUAUACUAAAUGCUGAUUUGGGUUCACAUCCUUCUCAAAUUUGGCGACCUAUUCUGGACGGUCGUGACAUCCUGGCGCAAGAGAUCAUUAGAAGGAUUGGUGACGGGGAGACAACGAUGAUCUGGGAGCAGAACUGGAUCCCAUGGGACGGGGUUAAGCGUCCUAUCACCUCUUUGGUCCAAGAUCCACCAUCCCGAGUAUCAGAACUCAUUGACAGUACCUCUGCUAGCUGGCGAGAAGAUGUUGUGCGGCAUGCCUUUACACCAUUUGAUGCUGAAGCAAUAUUCAGUAUACCUCUUUGUAACAGAAGAAUACAGGAUUUCUGGGCUUGGAACGAGGAGAGACGAGGUAUGUUCAUGGUACGCUCCACAUACCGUAUGAUCGUGAGGAUCAAGAUGGAGAGAGAAGCGUGGCUGGAAGAGAGGGAGAGUACAUCUCAUACGCCGGUAAGACAGGAGGGCUGGAAUGAUAUUUGGUUGCUGCAAGUACCAACUAAGUUGAAGAUAUUCUUGUCGCGAUUAGCACAACACUCAAUGCCAUCACAAGAACUUCUUCACCAUAGGAAUAUGACCACAACUCCUGCUUGUAUUUUAUGUGGAGCUCAUGACAGUUGGCAUCAUGCCCUGUUGAGCUGCCCUAUGUCCCGGUGUACUUGGGCCCUGUCUUCUGAUCCAGUGCUCGAGCAGGUCAGUACUAAUCAGGAGGAGAAUGCACGAAGAUGGAUCUUUACUAUGAGCGAAACACUGGACAAGGACGAGUUCUUGCGGCUAACAGUAUCACUAUGGGCAAUAUGGAGUGACCGGCGGAAAGCUCUCCACGAAGGCAUCUUCCAAAGUACGCAUGCAAUCAACGGGUUCAUUAACUCGUACUUGGUAGAGCUUCGGUCACUGGUCACACCCCCUGGGUCAGGCACAGCAAGGGCUCCUCCAACGGGCAAGGUUUGGUUGUCACCAUCGGAUAAUCAUGCUAAGGUUAACGUUGACGCUGCCGUUAGCCGUAGCGGCAGACACGGGGCGGUUGCGGCGAUUAGCCGGAGCAGUGAUCGAAACUUUUAGGGGGCGUCAACGGUUGUGUUCCCUACUGUCAUCGAUCCAGCUACUUUGGAGGCCAUGACGGUGAGGGAAGGGAUUGCCCUCUCUUUGGACCUGAACAACCAGAGCAUUCAUAUAGCCUCAGACUGCAAGAACGUGGUGCAUGAGAUCAAGGAGGGAAGCAAAUCAAGUUAUGGUGCUAUCAUCCACGAGAUCAAGUUAGGGCUAAGUGCCUUUAUUUCAUGUAAUAUAGUUCACGAAAGUAGGAGCUUGAAUUUCGAGGUUCACAAUCUUGUGAAGCAUGCUUUACGCUUGGGACCGGGCCGCCAUGUAUGGUUAGGUCAUCCGGGAAACCUUCCCUCUGUCCCUAUAAAUGUGGUGACGAUUGAAUAAAGCUUCGUAUGAUUGUCUCAAAAAAAACAUGUGGUUAUAGGGGAAAGUGGAAUGCAUAUUUUUUGAGCACAUGCAUCCGGGCCUUGUUAUCCUGCCUCUCCAAUGUCGCUUUAAUAUCUGUGUGAUACAACUAACUUCCUACAUGAAAUUUUCUCUUUUUUUUCUCUCAUAUAGUACAUGUCUUAAACUUCAAACUUUGCAGCCCAACAAAAUUUUCUACCCAAAAUCUUCAAAGUGCACGCGCACAUUUAGAGGAAACGAGCGGCCGGGCUUCACAGCCAUGCAUGUCUUAUUUAUUUUGUCUACUAGUGCAUGUUGCUAUUAGCAUUAAAGGUGUUCACAUUGGUUAGUUCGGUUUGAAAGAAACAGCUUCACGUGCAUUUAUUUCGGUUUCUCGAAUAUAUAAAAAGUCAUAUCUUUCAAACUGCGUGUCGGAAUUCAGAUCCGUUUUCACCAUUGGAUUCUUCGGGGCGAUAUCAUUGAAACUAGAUCCCGCAUGGGUAUGUUUCAACGAAAUUUUUUUGAUGACAAUUUUGAUGCUAUAUGGUGCAACUUCGAUACUGCGUUGUGCAACUUUAGUACUACAUGGUGCAAUUUUUCCAAAACCAGUUUUUGGAGCUGCAUGAUCUAACUUCACAUGAGGUUGCAAUCUAGCAACCAUGAAAAUAUGAUGUGCAACUAGUCCACUAUCCCGACCAACUAUGUAAUAGUCGAUGUGCAACCCUUGUCCCUACUCAUAGAUGUGUAGUUUUUUUACCGUUGACAUACCCUGCCCCACCUUCCCUACCAGUGAUGUGUGCUAUUUAGUCUGUUGUUCGAGCCAACUUCCUAUUACUCGAUGUACAAAUCCUUCCCCUGGAUAUGUAGUUUUAGUUGGCAGGGGCAAUAAAUGAAGUUGCACAAAGUCUGCUAGGCAGUUGGCCGGAGCAACAUAUAAGUUGCACAUCUCACAGGUAGGGAUACUUGGAUGGUGAAAAUUUCACAUUCAUGAGGGUAGUGAAAAGUUACAUAUUCAUGAGGGUAGUAAAAGUUGCAUAUAAAUGGGGCGCUAAAGUUGCACAUCCUACUAGAGGGGUGGUUCCGAGUGCUAGUAGGCAAAUUACACAUCCAUGGGGUGUGAGGGGUAGUUGCACAUCACUGGUAGACAGUUGGCAGUGACAGUAUCCGGAAUUGCACAUUCACUGCUAGACAGUUGGCCGAUGCAGCAAAUAGUGAAAGCACAACCACGGGCAGAGGGAAAGUUGCACAUAAACUACUAGGCACUUGAGCUUGGCAAAUCACGAAUUUGAACAUCUCACUGGGAGGAGGUAGUUUGGGGUGAUGUGCCAUCAGUGAAAACUACACUUCCAAGGGGUAGGCGGAAAGUUGCACAUCCACUGUCAGGUAGUUGCACACCGGCUGCUAUGCGGUUGCACAAAACGGAGGCUAAAUUGCACAGAAAAAUUUCAUCAAAACAUACCCAUGCGAGAUCUAAUUUCGAAGAUCUCGUCGCGAAGAAUCCAACGAUGAAGAUGAGUCUGAAUUACGACACGCAGUUUGAAAGAUAUGGCUUUUAAAAAUUUGAAAAGCCGAAAUUAAGUGCAUUAACACCUGUUCACGUUCACGUGGGUGGUUCGUAUUUUACUUUUUCUAUUCACAUGUUUUCACUUUUCCUAAUAUGAAUUUAGAGGAAAAACUGUUUCUAUUUAUAGAUAAUUAGAGAGAUAAAAUAUUUCCUUUUGUAGAUUAUAGACCAGAAAUUUCCCUUUUUGGCCAGCUGCUCCAGAGCGCUAGGGAGCAGCCGGCCGCUCCCAAGAUGUGUCCAACUUUCUAACUAGAAUGUGGUAUAAAACUUUCAGAAUUUUUGUCAGACAUGAGUACUAAAUGUAAGAUUUUUUUUAAUCAAACAUUACUUACUUUUUAUAUUUAUGUUGGACCAAAAAAUCUAAAAGUUUUAUCUUAGAUUUUAGUUAGAAUGUUUUGCUGUUCUGCAAAGGUUUGAACUUCAAAACAUGUUCCACACGAGAGAAAUAAAAAAUAUAUACUUGCAUGAAUCUUGAUGCUGAGAAUGGAUAAAUAGAUAAGAGGGGUGCGGGUACACAGGUGCUCUAAAACAUGUUUUCUGGGGAAAGUGGGGCCAGGGGUACUGCAGCGACUCGUCCAAGGAGAAGAUGGAGACGUACACAGCUGUGUGCUGGGAGAAGCACAAUGCCGAGGCUGGUCCUAUGGCACAGCCACCCGACCUGGAGUUGGUGAUGAGGGAAGAAGACUAGCCGCCGCCUCAUUUGCAAUGGUGCGAUUGCAACAGGUGUACUCCUUCUGUUCCUAAAUAUGUUUUUUUAGAGAUUUCAUUAUGAACCACAUAUGGAUGUAUAUAGAUGCAUUUUAAGUGUAGAUUCAUUCAUUUUGCUCCGUAUGUAGUCCACCUAGUGAAAUCUCUACAAAGACUUAUAUUUAGGAACGGGGGGAGUAUACUAGAAGCACCCCCUGUACAAACGAAUUCAUUACAAUGCCAGACAAUGCACCAGCGGCAACAAGAGAAAAACGAAAAUGCAUACCUUGGCGAAGUCUACUGUACUUAUCUCGGCCUUGUAGGACCACGGUAGUGUGCAGGUUGGCUGGCGUGAGUUCCAUCUUCUCCUGGUGGAACACACCAUAACCAUAGGUGAUGAGGGGCAUGCCGGAGCCAGAUGGGUCGGACGCAAGGCCGCUCACGAACCGGCGACUUCGUCGGGGGACGAGGCACCAAGCAGGGCCAGGAGAGGGAAGGGGCAUCAGUGGAGAAGACGACGUGAUUUGGAGAAGCGGGAGGGGAGCGAAGCUAGCCGGUGGGGUGGUCGUGCUGCUCAACAGCGAGGAGAGCGGGAUGCAGCGGCGUGCGAGGCGGAGGGUACGGGAUCUGGGUGUGGUGGAGCGAGAUCGUGCCGGGAGAGAUUAGCAAGAGGUUUACGUGCGGGGGCUGCGGGCAGUUUGUUUCUGUCGAUGUUCUUCUUUUUUCACAUAAGGAACACAAAUUGUGAGGCGUCAGAUUUUGGUCGAAUCGACGGCGUCGGACUGGCCUGGCGCUGGACUUGUAUCAGAGCAUAGAUAGAAAGGGUUUCCCUUUAAGUUACAGGUAAAUUAAGUCCGAUAAUUAUACAUGCCCACUACUCAUAGCAACGGGCGUCUUUAGCCUAGAUGUAAUGUCAGAUCUUCAUGGUUGUGGCAGCGCCUUAAUUAAUUACUUCAUCCUUCUAAAAUAAGUGACUCAAAGUUGAGUCACUUAUUUUGGGGCGGAUGAAGUAUUUUUUUAGCGGAAAUCCAACUCGGUAACACGGGAACUUUAUUGGUUAUAAAAGUUCAUAGGAAUACAAUGUAGAUCUGGCAGAUUAAGAAACCAUACAUGGCGCCCUAAAGAAAGGCCUAGAGUAUGCUUAGCGAGGCUAUGAGCCUCAAGAUUAGUUUCUCUUCCUUAGAAGAUGAAGAAACGGCAAGAGAACUGCUGAGAUGUAAGAUUUAUCUUAUAAUAAUGAUAGAGUGUAGCCCACCCGUAUUUUCAUGGAUAUCUUUGAUCGCAUCUUGACAGUAUGAAGCUAUAUGUAUGUCUGCAAGUGAUAAGUCAAGGGCAAGUGAGAGCGCUUCUAGACAAGCCAAAGCCUCGAAUGAUGAUGGGUCAGUCACACCUUGACAUGUUAUCACCCAAGAGCCUAGAUAUUUUCAGUGGAAUCCCUGCAAAUUGCGUUGUAAGUCCCUUCCAUUGCGCCGCGUGACACUGCACCAUCAACACAAAUUUUCCAGCUCCUGCAAGCGGCAGGAUCCAUCUGCUCGAAGGUGUUUGAACAGUUGCAUAUUUCUUCAAAGGUUUGCAAAUUUGAAGCUAUCUUAGAAAAUCCUUGACAAGCUGAUUAGUAACUAACGGCCCCUGAAAUACAUGCUCAUUGAUAGCUGUUCUCCGAGCAUGCCAAAUCGCCCAUAGUGUUACAAGUAUCUUGAUGAAAUCCUCAUGUGGUAUAGACUCCAGUAGUGAAAAAAUGAAGCGUUUUGCUUUACAUCGCAUCAUAACUUCCACUAGAUCAUCAUCCUUUAAUGGCCAAACGCAACGUGCCAUGUUACACUCCAUCAAAGAACGCCGCCAGGAAUCUUCAGAGUCACAAAGUCCACACUCAGAUUGUACUACCAUCUUCUGGUGUUUGAGCAAGUCUGAAGUUGACAAGGACUGUUGCGCUAGUCGCCACAGAAAAAAAAAUUGAUGGAACAUCAAUCUUCCACAUCUUCGUCCAUGCUUUUAUUUCUCCCUCUGAAUAUGAGUUGUCUGCUUGACCUGCCAACUAUGCUUCUCAACAGAGUUUAGUUGAUACCAGCAUGCAGUAUGCCGAGCGUACCGAAAAACACUGUUUUGCUCAUGUACCCAUGACUAGAAAUCACCGAGUUGUCUUGUGGAAAGCGAGAUGGACAAAAUUGCUUGACCAUCUGUAGGCAGGAAAACUUGAGAGAUCCUCGCCCGAUUCCACUCCACGGCAGAAUAAGCUCAUUGACCAACAUAAGUGGAUCAAGUACCACCGAUGUUAUCAGCCGCAUGUUGUGCACCCUCGGAAGCCAUUGGUCGCACUAAAUAUCCGUGUUCAUACCAUCACCAACGCGGCGGAUCAAACCCUGCACCAUUACAUCCCAUCCUUCAAGGAUGAACCUCCAAGUCUGGGACGGUGCACCCCCGAGUUCAGUAGCGCCUUAAUUAUUGCUACUGGCCGUUGGGUUGUCUUUAUCCCGGUGGAUCUUGCUUCUUUCAUUCCGAGUGAAUCUCCAUCUGGGUGAUUGGCCAGACUGAAUAAUCCUCCACUAAGCUGGCUGGUAUUUCGGUAGCUAGAAAUUGUGGGCUUGGGCCCCCAUCGGCUUCUACUAGGUUUUAGUCACGGUUGGCCUACCCGGUGGGAGAUGACCUCAUCAAACUAUAAUGAGUUCCUUGUAAGAAAACAUGGCAAAUAGUUGCCGAAAAUCGUUGUCGAGUUUGUCUAGUGAAGUACUCAACCAUGAAUGCUCGUGCCAAAUGGUUCCUAGUUGCCCAGUUCCAUGGCGCGGGAUCUCAACAGAAUGCUUAUUCACCGAGUCCUUUCAUUUUACCGACAGCAAUCAGAGGACUGUAUUAAGUAUGCUCUUUUCCCGAGUUGUGUACUCGGCAAACGGCUGUUUUGCCUUGUGCCCAUGAGUGGGAGCUUGGCAAAUAGCUUGCCAGUGAGCAAAGACAAAUCUUCUAGCAGUCAUGUCUUGUGAUUUUCCCUAGAUCUUAUUCUUGCAUUGCGAUAGACAGGUGAAUGUUGAAGCCCACGAGCUAGCUAGUAUGUCUCAUAGAUCUCCAUGCAACGACUGGUUUGAUGAUCGUCCUAGUGAUAUCACCCCUCAUCUCAUAACCGAUGUAACCUUCUUAUCUAGUGGACAAACAGGGAUGAUGGUGACAUUUUGUGUAAGACAAUGAUUUGGGGGAACCAGCUCAACCCUCUAGGAAUGGCUUAUCUCAUAUAUAUAAUGGGUGUGUUACAAUAGGUACAAUAUACGUACACAAAUACAUAAGUUAUACAUAGUCUAACAUCCUCCCUCAAUCUUAGCCACUUUCUAAAGAACUGAGAAGGUUAAGAUUGCGCCUACAAGCCUCGAACUGUGGUAAAGGCAAAGGCUUAGUGAAGAUGUCUGCAAGUUGAUCUUUGGAAGAGAUGAACUUGAUCCGAAGUUGCUUCUGUGACACACGUUCCCGUACAAAGUGAUAGUCCACUUCAAUGUGUUUCGUUCGGGCAUGAAAUACCGGAUUUACAGAAAGGUAUGUAGCACCGAUGUUAUCACACCAAAGGAUAGGAGGUUGUGGUUGAGACAUACCCAACUCCUGAAGCAAAGAUUGCACCCAAAUAAUCUCUGCAGUAGCAUUAGGCACAGCCUUAUACCCAGCUUCAGUACUACUACGUGAUACCGUAGCCUAUUUCCGAGCACUCCAGGCGAUCAAGUUAGAGCCAAAGAACACAGCAUAGCCCCUUGUGGAUCGCCCGUCAUCCGGGCUGCCGGCCCAGUCCGCAUCAGAGUAGGCCGAAAGAACCCGAGAGGGAGUCGGCCGAAUAUGCAUCCCAAAAGACACUGUGAGUUGGACAUAACGCAGGAUGCGCUUAACAGCAGCCCAAUGAGUGUCGCGGGGAGCCUGAAGAUAUUGACAAACCUAGUUGACAGCAUAAGAAAUAUUUGGCCUCGUGAUCAUCAAGUACUGAAGCCCACCAACAAUACUCCUGUACUCUGUGGCAUCCGUAGAAGACAGAAGCUCACCAUCAACAGUAGUGAGCUUUUCGGUAGAUGACAUGGGUGUGGUAGUCGGUUUGCACUUAAGCAUCCCAGCUCGCUGCAAUAAAUCAAAGGAGUACUUCUUUUGUGUCAUAACAAGACCAUCAGCACGAGAAGUGACUGAAGGAAAUAUGCCCUAGAGGCAAUAAUAAAGUUAUUAUUUAUUUCCUUGUUUCAUGAUAAAUGUUUAUUAUUCAUGCUAGAAUUGUAUUAACCGGAAACAUAAUACAUGUGUGAAUACAUAGACAAACAGAGUGUCACUAGUAUGCCUCUACUUGACUAGCUCGUUAAUCAAAGAUGGUUAUGUUUCCUGACCAUGGACAAAGAGUUGUUAUUUGAUUAACGGGAUCACAUCAUUAGUUGAAUGAUUUGAUUGACAUGACCCAUUCCAUUAGCUUAGCACCCGAUCGUUUAGUAUGUUGCUAUUGCUUUCUUCAUGACUUAUACAUGUUCCUAUGACUAUGAGAUUAUGUAACUCCCGUGUGCCGGAGGAACACUUUGUGUGCUACCAAACGUCACAACGUAACUGGGUGAUUAUAAAGGUGCUCUACAGGUGUCUCCAAAGGUACAUGUUGGCCUGACGUAUUUCGAGAUUAGGAUUUGUCACUCCGAUCGUCGGAGAGGUAUCUCUGGGCCCUCUCGGUGAUGCACAUCACUUAAGACUUGCAAGCAAUGCAACUAAUGAGUUAGUUGCAAGAUGAUGUAUUACGGAACGAGUAAAGAGACUUGCCGGUAACGAGAUUGAACUAGGUAUUGGAUACCGACGAUCGAAUCUCGGGCAAGUAACAUACCGAUGACAAAGGGAACAACGUAUGUUGUUAUGCGGUCUGACCGAUAAAGAUCUUCGUAGAAUAUGUAGGAGCCAAUAUGGGCAUCCAGGUCCCGCUAUUGGUUAUUGACCGGAGACAUGUCUCGGUCAUGUCUACAUUGUUCUCGAACCCGUAGGGUCCGCACGCUUAAGGUUUCAAUGACAGUUAUAUUAUGAGUUUAUACGUUUUGAUGUACCGAAGGUUGUUCGGAGUCCCGGAUGUGAUCACGGACAUGACGAGGAGUCUCGAAAUGGUCGAGACAUAAAGAUUGAUAUAUUGGAAGCCUAUGUUUGGAUAUCGGAAGUGUUCCGGGUGAAAUCGGGAUUUUACCGGAGUACCGGGAGGUUAUCGGAACACCCCGGGAGCUAUAUGGGCCUUAGUGGGCCUUAGUGGAAAAGAGAAGAGGCAGCCUGAGAUGGGCCGCGCGCCCCUCCCCUCCCUUCAGCCUUUAUAUACGGAGGCAGGGGCACCCCAGAGGAACACAAGUUGAUCCACGUGAUCAUAUUCUUAGCCGUGUGCGGCGCCCCCUGCCACCGUAGUCCUCGAUAAUAUUGUAGCGGUGCUUAGGCGAAGCCCUGCGACAGUAGUACAUCAAGAUCAUCACCACGCCGUCGUGCUGACGGAACUCUUCCCCGACACUUUGCUGGAGCGGGGUCCGGGGAUCGUCAUCGAGCUGAACGUGUGCUAGAACUCGGAGGUGCCGUAGUUUCGGUGCUUAAUCGGUCGGGCCGUGGAGACAUACGACUACGUCAUCCAAACGCUUCCGUUGUCAAUCUACAAGGGUACGUAGAUCACACUCUCCCCUCUCGUUGCUAUGCAUCACCAUGAUCUUGCGUGUGCGUAGGAAAUUUUUUGAAAUUACUACGUUCCCCAACAGUGGCAUCCGAGCCUAGGUUUUAUGUGUUGAUCUUAUAUGCACGAGUAGAACACAAGUGAGUUGUGGGCGAUAUAAGUCAUACUGCUUACCAGCAUGUCAUACUUUGGUUCGGCGGUAUUGUUGGACGAAGCGGCCCGGACCGACAUUACGCGUACGCUUACGCGAGACUAGUUCUCCCGACGUGCUUUGCACAUAGGUGGCUUGCGGGUGACAGUUUCUCCAACUUUAGUUGAACCGAGUGUGGCUACGCCCGGUCCUUGCGAAGGUUAAAACAGCACCAACUUGACAAACUAUCGUUGUGGUUUUGAUGCGUAGGUAAGAUUGGUUCUUGCUUAAGCCCGUAGCAGCCACGUAAAACUUGCAACAACAAAGUAGAGGACGUCUAACUUGUUUUGCAGGGCAUGUUGUGAUGUGAUAUGGUCAAGACAUGAUGCUGAAUUUUAUUGUAUGAGAUGAUCAUGUUUUGUAACCGAGUUAUCGGCAACUGGCAGGAGCCAUAUGGUUGUCGCUUUAUUGUAUGCAAUGCAAUCGUGCUGUAAUGCUUUACUUUAUCACUAAGCGGUAGCGAUAGUCGUGGAAGCAUAAAGAUUGGCGAGACGACAACGAUGCUACGAUGGAGAUCAAGGUGUCGCGCCGGUGACGAUGGUGAUCAUGGCGGUGCUUCGGAGAUGGAGAUCACAGGCACAAGAUGAUGAUGGCCAUAUCAUAUCACUUAUAUUGAUUGCAUGUGAUGUUUAUCUUUUAUGCAUCUUAUCUUGCUUUGAUUGACGGUAGCAUUAUAAGAUGAUCUCUCACUAAAUUAUUAAGAAGUGUUCUCCCUGAGUAUGCAUCGUUGCGAAAGUUCUUCGUGCUAAGACACCACGUGAUGAUCGGGUGUGAUAGGCUCUACGUUCAAAUACAACGGGUGCAAAACAGUUGCACACGCGGAAUACUUAGGUUAUACUUGACGAGCCAAGCAUAUGCAGAUAUGGCCUCGGAACACAGAGACCGAAAGGUCGAGCGUGAAUCAUAUAGUAGAUAUGAUCAACAUAGUGAUGUUCACCAAUGAAACUACUCCAUGUCACGUGAUGAUCGGACAUGGUUUAGUUGAUUUGGAUCACGUGAUCACUUAGAGGAUUAGAGGGAUGUCUAUCUAAGUGGGAGUUCUUAAGUAAUAUGAUUAAUUAAAUUUAAAUUUAUCAUGAACUUAGUCCUGGUAGUAUUUUGCAAAUUAUGUUGUAGAUCAAUAGCUCGCGUUGUUGCUUCCCUGUGUUUAUUUUGAUAUGUUCCUAGAGAAAAUUGUGUUGAAAGAUGUUAGUAGCAAUGAUACGGAUUGGAUCCAUGAUCUGAGGUUUAUCCUCAUUGCUGCACAGAAGAAUUAUGUCCUUGAUGCACCGCUAGAUGACAGACCUAUUGCAGGAGCAGAUGCAGACGUUAUGAACGUUUGGCUAGCUCAAUAUGAUGACUACUUGAUAGUUUAAGUGCACCAUGCUUAAACGGCUUAGAAUCGGGACUUCAAAGACGUUUUGAACGUCAUGGACCAUGUGAGAUGUUCCAGGAGUUGAAGUUAAUAUUUCAAGCAAAUACCCGAGUUGAGAGAUAUGAAGUCUCCAACAAGUUCUAUAGCUAAAAGAUGGAGGAGAAUCGCUCAACAAGUGAGCAUGUGCUCAGAUUGUCUGAGUACUACAAUCAUUUGAAUCAAGUGGGAGUUAAUCUUCCAGAUAAAGUAGUGAUUGACAGAAUUCUCUAGUCACCAUCACCAAGUUAGUAGAACUUCGUGAUGAACUAUAAUAUGCAAGGGAUAAUGGAAACUCUCUUCGUGAUGCUAAAAUCGACGAAGGUAGAAAUCAAGAAGAACAUCAAGUGUUGAUGGUAGACAAGACCACUAGUUUCAAGAAAAGGGCAAAGGGAAGAAGGGGAACUUCAAGAAGAACGGCAAGCAAGUUGCAGCUCAAGUGAAGAAACCCAAGUCUGGUCCUAAGCCUGAGACUAAGUACUUCUACUGCAAAGGGAUUGGUCACUGGAAGCGGAACUACCCCAAGUAUUUGGUGGAUAAGAAGGAUGGCAAAGUGAACAAAAGUAUAUUUGAUAUACAUGGUAUUGAUGUGUACUUUACUAGUGUUUAUAGCAACCCCUCAGUACUUGAUACUAGUUCAGUUGCUAAGAGUAGUAACUCGAAACAGGAGUUGCAGAAUAAACAGAGACUAGUCAAGGGUGAAGUGACGAUGUGUGUUGGAAGUAGUACCAAGAUUGAUAUGAUCAUCAUCGCACACUCCUUAUACUUUCGGGAUUAGUGUUGAAACUAAAUAAGUGUUAUUUGGUGUUUGCGUUGAGCAUGAAUAUGAUUUGAUCAUGUUUAUUGCAAUACGGUUAUUCAUUAAAGUCUGAGAAUAAUUGUUGUUCUGUUUACAUGAAUAAAACCUUCGAUGGUCAUACACCCAAUGAAAAUAGUUUGUUGGAUCUCAAUCGUAGUGUUACACAUAUUCAUAAUAUUGAAACCAAAAGAUGUAAAGUUAAUAAUGAUAGUGAAACUUAUUUGUGGCACUACCGUUUAGGUCAUAUCGGUGUAAAGCACAUGAAGAAACUCCAUACUGAUGGACUUUUGGAACCACUUGAUUAUGAAUCACUUGGUACUUGCGAACCGUGCCUCAUGGGCAAGAUGACUAAGACUCCGUUCUCCGGAACAAUGGAGCGAGCAACAAACUUGAUUGGAAAUAAUACAUACUGAUGUAUGCAGUCCAAUGAGUGUUGAAGCUCGCGGCGGGUAUCGUUUUUCUGACCUUCACAGAUGAUUUGAGCAGAUAUGGGUAUAUCUACUUGAUGAAACAUAAGUCUGAAACAUUUGAAAAGUUUAAAGAAAUUGAGAGAGAAGUGGAAAAUCAUCGUGACAAGAAAAUAAGGUUUCUACGAUCUGAUCGCGGAGACAAAUAUUUGAGUUACGAGUUUGGUCUUCAAUUAAAACAAUGUGGAAUAGUUUCACAAACUCAUGCCACCUGGAACACCAUAGCAUAAUGGUGUGUCCGAACGUCAUAACCGUACUUUAUUGGAUAUAGUACAAUCUAUGUUGUUUCUUACCGAUUUACCAAUAUCGUUUUGGGGUUAUGCAUUAGAGACAGCUGCAUUCACGUUAAAAAGGGCACCAUCUAAAUCCGUUGAGACGACACCGUAUGAAUUAUGGUUUAGCAAGAAACCAAAGUUGCCGUUUCUUAAAGUUUGAGGUUGCAAUGCUUAUGUGAAAAAGUUUCAACCUGAUAAGCUCAAACCCAAAUCGGAGAAGUGCGUCUUCAUAGGAUACCCAAAAGAAAAUGUUGGAUACACCUUCUAUCACAGAUCCGAAGGCAAGACUUUUGUUGCUAAAUUCAAAAACUUUCUGGAGAAGGAGUUUCUCUCGAAAGAUGUGAGUGGGAGGAAAGUAGAACUUGAUGAGGUAACUGUACCUGCUCCCUUAUUGGAAAGUAGUACAUCACAGAAAACUGUUUCUGCGACACCUACACCAAUCAGUGAGGAAGCUAAUGAUAAUGAUCAUGAAACUUCAGGACAAAAUACUACUGAACCUCGUAGAUCAACCCGAGUGAGAUCCGUGCCAGAGUGGUACGGUAAUCCUGUUCUGGAAAUCAUGCUGCUAGAUCAUGAUGAACCUACGAACUAUGAGGAAGCGAUGAUGAGCCCAGAUUCCGAAAAAUGGCUUGAAGCCAUGAAAUCUGAGAUGGGAUCCAUGUAUGAGAACAAAGUAUGGACUUUGGUUGACUUGCCCGAUGAUCGGCAAGCAAUUGAGAAUAAAUGGAUCUUCAAGAAGAAGACUGACGCUGACGGUAAUAUUACUGUCUACAAAGCUCGACUUGUCACAAAAGGUUUUCGACAAGUUCAAGGGGUUGACUACGAUGAGACCUUCUCACCCGUAGCGAUGCUUAAGUCUGUCCGAAUCAUGUUAGCAAUUGCCGCAUUUUAUGAUUAUGAAAUUUGGCAGAUGGAUGUCAAAACUGCAUUCCUGAAUGGAUUUCUGGAAGAAGAGUUGUAUAUGAUGCAACCGGAAGGUUUUGUCGAUCCAAAGGGAGCUAACAAAGUGUGCAAGCUCCAGCGAUCCAUUUAUGGACUGGUGCAAGCCUCUCAGAGUUGGAAUAAACGCUUUGAUAGUGUGAUCAAAGCAUUUGGUUUUAUACAGACUUUCGGAGAAGCCUGUAUUUACAAGAAAGUGAGUGGGAGCUCUGUAGCAUUUCUGAUAUUAUAUGUGGAUGACAUAUUACUGAUUGGAAAUGAUAUAGAAUUUCUGGAUAGCAUAAAGGGAUACUUGAAUAAGAGUUUUUCAAUGAAAGACCUCGGUGAAGCUGCUAACAUAUUGAGUAUCAAGAUCUAUAGAGAUAGAUCAAGACGCUUGAUAAGUUUUUUCAAUGAGUACAUACCUUGACAAGAUUUUGAAGUAGUUCAAAAUGGAACAGUCAAAGAAAAAGUUUCUUGCCUGUGUUACAAGGUGUGAAGUUGAGUAAGACUCAAAGCCCGACCACGGCAGAAGAUAGAAAGAGAAUGAAAGUCAUUCCCUAUGCCUCAGUCAUAGGUUCUAUAAAGUAUGCCAUGCUGUGUACCAGAUCUAUUGUAUACCAUACACUAUGUUAAGAGAGGGAGUACAAUAGUGAUCUAGGAGUAGAUCAAUGGACAGCGGUCAAAAUUAUCCUUACUGGAAUAAGGAUAUGUUUCUUGAUUACGGAGGUGACAAAAGGUUCGUCGUAAAGGGUUAUGUCGAUGCAAGUUUUGACACUGAUCCAGAUGACUCUAAGUCUCAAUCUGGAUACAUAUUGAAAGUGGGAGCAAUUAGCUAGAGUAGCUCCAUGCAGAGCAUUGUUGACAUAGAAAUUUGCAAAAUACAUGCGGAUCUGAAUGUGGCAGACCCGUUGACUAAACUUCUCUCACAAGCAAAACAUGAUCACUUUUUGGGUCUUAAUCACAUAGCAAUGUGAACUAUAUUAUUGAAUCUAGUAAACCCUUUGGGUGUUAGUCACAUGGAGAUGUGAACCAAUCACAUAAAGAUGUGAACUAUUGCUGUUAAAUCACAUGACGAUGUGAACUAGAUUAUUGACUCUAGUGCAAGUGGGGACUGAAGGAAAUAUGCCCUAGAGGCAAUAAUAAAGUUAUUAUUUAUUUCCUUAUUUCAUGAUAAAUGUUUAUUAUUCAUGCUAUAAUUGUAUUAACUGGAAACAUAAUACAUGUGUGAAUACAUAGACAAACAGAGUGUCACUAGUAUGCCUCUACUUGACUAGCUCGUUAAUCAAAGAUGGUUAUGUUUCCUGACCAUGGACAAAGAGUUGUUAUUUGAUUAACGGGAUCACAUCAUUAGUUGAAUGAUCUGAUUGACAUGACCCAUUCCAUUAGCUUAGCACCCGAUCGUUUAGUAUGUUGCUAUUGCUUUCUUCAUGACUUAUACAUGUUCCUAUGACUAUGAGAUUAUGUAACUCCCGUGUGCCGGAGGAACACUUUGUUUGCUACCAAACGUCACACCGUAACUGGGUGAUUAUAAAGGUGCUCUAUAGGUGUCUCCAAAGGUACAUGUUGGGUUGACGUAUUUCGAGAUUAGGAUUUGUCACUCUGAUCGUCGAAGAGGUAUCUCUGGGCCCUCUCGGUGAUGCACAUCACUUAAGCCUUGCAAGCAAUGCAACUAAUGAGUCAGUUGCAAGAUGAUGUAUUACGGAACGAGUAAAGAGACUUGCCGGUAACGAGAUUGAACUAGGUAUUGGAUACCGACGAUCGAAUCUCGGGCAAGUAACAUACCGAUGACAAAGGGAACAAUGUAUGUUGUUAUGCGGUCUGACCGAUAAAGAUCUUCGUAGAAUAUGUAGGAGCCAAUAUGGGCAUCCAGGUCCCGCUAUUGGUUAUUGACCAGAGACAUGUCUCGGUCAUGUCUACAUUGUUCUCGAACCCGUAGGGUCCGCACGCUUAAGGUUUCGAUGAUAGUUAUAUUAUGAGUUUAUACAUUUUGAUGUACCGAAGGUUGUUCGGAGUCCCGGAUGUGAUCACGGACAUGACGAGGAGUCUCAAAAUGGUCGAGACAUAAAGAUUGAUAUAUUGGAAGCCUAUGUUUGGAUAUCGGAAGUGUUCCGGGUGAAAUCGGGAUUUUACCGGAGUACCGGGAGGUUACCGGAACCCCCCGGGAGCUAUAUGGGCCUUAGUGGGCCUUAGUGGAAAAGAGAAGAGGCAGCCUGAGAUGGGCGGCGCGCCCCUCCCCUCCCUUGGUCCGAAUAGGACAAGGAGAGGGGGCCGGCCCCCCUUUCUCUUUUCCCCCCUCCGCGAAUCCUAUUCCAACUAGGAUUGGGGGGGGAUCCUACUCCCGGAGGGAGAAGGACUCCUCCUGGCGCACCACCUCUAGGCCGGCCAAACCNNNNNNNNNNNNNNNNNNNNNNNNNNNNNNNNNNNNNNNNNNNNNNNNNNNNNNNNNNNNNNNNNNNNNNNNNNNNNNNNNNNNNNNNNNNNNNNNNNNNNNNNNNNNNNNNNNNNNNNNNNNNNNNNNNNNNNNNNNNNNNNNNNNNNNNNNNNNNNNNNNNNNNNNNNNNNNNNNNNNNNNNNNNNNNNNNNNNNNNNNNNNNNNNNNNNNNNNNNNNNNNNNNNNNNNNNNNNNNNNNNNNNNNNNNNNNNNNNNNNNNNNNNNNNNNNNNNNNNNNNNNNNNNNNNNNNNNNNNNNNNNNNNNNNNNNNNNNNNNNNNNNNNNNNNAUAUACGGAGGCAGGGGCACCCCAGAGGAACACAAGUUGAUCCACGUGAUCAUAUUCUUAGCCGUGUGCGGCGCUCCCUGCCACCAUAGUCCUCGAUAAUAUUGUAGCGGUGCUUAGGCGAAGCCCUGUGAUAGUAGUACAUCAAGAUCGUCACCACGCCGUCAUGCUGACGGAACUCUUCCCCAACACUUUGCUGGAUCGGAGUCCGGGGAUCGUCAUCGAGCUGAACAUGUGCUAGAACUCGGAGGUGUCGUAGUUUCGGUGCUUGAUCGGUCGGGCCGUGGAGACAUACGACUACAUCAACCAAACACUUCCGUUGUCGAUCUACAAGGGUACGUAGAUCACACACUCCCCUCUUGUUGCUAUGCAUCACCAUGAUCUUGUGUGUGCGUAGGAAAUUUUUUGAAAUUACUACGUUCCCCAACAGUGACCUCAACCCCAAGAAAGUAGUGAAGCUUCCCAAGUUCUUUGACAGCAAAAGCAGAACCAAGAGAACGAACAAGAGCAUCAGCAGCAUACUGAAGGAAAAAUGCCCUAGAGGCAAUAAUAAAGUUAUUAUUUAUUUCCUUAUUUCAUGAUAAAUGUUUAUUAUUCAUGCUAUAAUUGUAUUAACGGGAAACAUAAUACAUGUGUGAAUACAUAGACAAACAGAGUGUCACUAGUAUGCCUCUACUUGACUAGCUCGUUAAUCAAAGAUGGUUAUGUUUCCUGACCAUGGACAAAGAGUUGUUAUUUGAUUAACGGGAUCACAUCAUUAGUUGAAUGAUCUGAUUGACAUGACCCAUUCCAUUAGCUUAGCACCCGAUCGUUUAGUACGUUGCUAUUGCUUUCUUCAUGACUUAUACAUGUUCCUAUGACUAUGAGAUUAUGCAACUCCCGUUUACCGGAGGAACACUUUGUGUGCUACCAAACGUCACAACGUAACUGGGUGAUUAUAAAGGUGCUCUACAGGUGUCUCCAAAGGUACUUGUUGGGUUGGCGUAUUUCGAGAUUAGGAUUUGACACUCCGAAUGUCGGAGAGGUAUCUCUGGGCCCUCUCGGUAAUGCACAUCACAUAAGCCUUGCAAGCAUUACAACUAAUGUGUUAGUUGUGAGAUGAUGUAUUAAGGAACGAGUAAAGAGACUUGCCGAUAACAAGAUUGAACUAGGUAUUGGAUACCGACGAUCGAAUCUCGGGCAAGUAACAUACCGAUGACAAAGGGAACAACGUAUGUUGUUAUGCGGUCUGACCGAUAAAGAUCUUCGUAGAAUAUGUAGGAGCGAAUAUGGGCAUCCAGGUCCCGCUAUUGGUUAUUGACCGGAGACAUAUCUCGGUCAUGUCUACAUUGUUCUUGAACCGUAGGGUCGGCACGCUUAAUGUUACGCUGACAGUUAUUAUGAGUUUAUGUAUUUUGAUGUAUCGAAGGUUGUUCGGAGUCCCGGAUGUGAUCAUGGACAUGACGAGGAGUCUCGAAAUGGUCGAGACAUAAAGAUCGAUAUAUUGGACGACUAUAUUCGGACACCGGAAUUGUUCCGGGCGAUUUCGGAUAAAACCGGAGUGCCGGAGGGGUUACCGGAACCCCCCGGGGAAGUAAUGGGCCUUAUUGGGCCUGAGGGGAGAGAGAGGGCAGCAGCCCGGGAGGUGGCGCGCCCUCCCUCAUGGGGAGUCCGAAUAGGACUAGGAGGGGGGCGGCCCCCCUUUCCCUCUCCCUCUCCCUCUCUUUCCUUCCCCCUCCCUAUUCCUAGUUGGACUAGGAAAGGGGAGUCCUACUCCCACUAGGAGAAGGACUCCCCCCCUCUCCUUGGCGCACCCAAGGGCCGGCCGGCCUCCCCCUUGCUCCUUUAUAUACGGGUGCAGGGGGGCACCCUAGAACACACAAGUUGAUCUUCGUGAUCGUUCCUUGGCUGUGUGCGGUGCCCCCCUCCACGAUAUUACACCUCGAUCAUAUUGUACCGGUGCUUAGGCGAAGCCCUGUGACGGUUAAACAUCAACAUCGUCACCUCGCCGUCGUGCUGACAAAACUCCUCCCCGAAGCUUUGCUGGAUCGGAGCCCGGGGUGCGUCAUCGAGCUGUACGUGUGUCAAGAACUCGGAGGUGCCGGAGUAACGGUGCUUGGAUCGGUUAGACCGGGAAGACGUACGACUACUUCCUCUAUGUUGCGUCAACGCUUCCGCUUCGGUCUAUGAGCGUACGUAGACAACACUCUCCCCUCUCGUUGCUAUGCAUCACCAUGAUCUUGCGUGUGCGUAGGAAAUUUUUUGAAAUUACUACGUUCCCCAACAGUGGCAUCCGAGCCUAGGUUUUAUGGUUUGAUGUUAUAUGCACGAGUAGAACACAAGUGAGUUGUGGGCGAUAUAAGUCAUACUGCCUACCAGCAUGUCAUACUUUGGUUCGGCGGUAUUGUUGGAUGAAGCGGCCCGGACCGACAUUACGCGUACGCUUAUGCGAGACCGGUUCUCCCGACGUGCUUUGCACAUAGGUGGCUUGCGGGUGACUGUUUCUCCAACUUUAGUUGAACCGAGUGUGGCUACGCCCGGUCCUUGCGAAGGUUAAAACGGCAUCAACUUGACAAACUAUCGUUGUGGUUUUGAUGCGUAGGUAAGAUUGGUUCUUGCUUAAGCCCGUAGCAGCCACGUAAAACUUGCAACAAACAAAGUAGAGGACGUCUAACUUGUUUUUGCAGGGCAUGUUGUGAUGUGAUAUGGUCAAGACAUGAUGCUAAAUUUUAUUACAUGAGAUGAUCAUGUUUUGUAACCGAGUUAUCGGCAACUCGCAGGAGCCAUAUGGUUGUCGCUUUAUUGUAUGCAAUGCAAUCGCGCUGUAAUGCUUUACUUUAUCACUAAGCGGUAGCGAUAGUCGUGGAAGCAUAAGAUUGGCGAGACGACAACGAUGCUACGAUGGAGAUCAAGGUGUCGCGCCGGUGACAAUGGUGAUCAUGACGGUGCUUCGGAGAUGGAGAUCACAGGCACAAGAUGAUGAUGGCCAUAUCAUAUCACUUAUAUUGAUUGCAUGUGAUGUUUACCUUUUAUGCAUCUUAUCUUGCUUUGAUUGACGGUAGCAUUAUAAGAUGAUCUCUCACUAAAAUUAUCAAGAAGUGUUCUUCCUGAGUAUGCACCGUUGCAAAAGUUCUUCGUGCUGAGACACCACGUGAUGAUCGAGUGUGAUAGGCUCUACGUUCAAAUACAAUGGGUGCAAAACAGUUGCACACGCGGAAUACUCAGGUUAUACUUGACGAGCCAAGCAUAUGCAGAUAUGGCCUCGGAACACGGAGACCGAAAGGUCGAGCGUGAAUCAUAUAGUAGAUAUGAUCAACAUAGCGAUGUUCACCAAUGAAACUACUCCAUCUCACGUGAUGAUCGGACAUGGUUUAGUUGAUUUGGAUCACGUGAUCACUUAGAGGAUUAGAGGGAUGUCUAUCUAAGUGGGAGUUCUUUAAGUAAUUUGAUUAAUUGAACUUAAAUUUAUCAUGAAC